rnacentral:lncRNA from 1 species
GAGGAUGCCGGAGCACGUCCAUGACGAGGCUAGGUACAUCAUCAGUAGCCUGGUCCCCAUGGCGAUAUCCUACUUCAACCCCUACGAGCAGAUCACCGUGUCCGAGUACGGCGAGGAGCGGUUCCGACGCAACAAGAUGUUUGACGCCGUCUCCACCUACCUGAGCCGCGUGUGCGCCGGUGGCGCCUGCAAGCUCAAGGCCGAGCUCUGCAACAACGGCAGGGACGACCCAAUUGUCACUCUGGACGAGAAUCAGGAGGUCGUCGACAGCUUCGACGGCGCACGCAUGUGGUGGAGGCUGUGCCCCAAGGCCUCCAAGAACAAGGGGGCCAUCACCGUCACCUACUACCCCGGGGAAGCGGACAAGCCGCGCUGCUUCAAGCUAGUGUUUCACAAACGCCACCGCCAGCUCGUGCUCAACUCCUACCUACCAAGCGUCGUCCGGCGUUGGCGCGAGCUAACCGCGAUGAACCGGCAGAGACGGCUGUUCACCAACCAUGCCAAUGAGGCGAAGAAGAGCGUGUGGACCAGUGUCCCUUACAACCCCCCUGCAACGUUCGACAUGCUCGCCAUGGACCACGCCAAGAAGGUUGAGAUCGUGGACGAUCUCACAACGUUCCAGAAGGGGAAGGAGUACCACUCAAAGGUUGGCAAGGCGUGGAAGCGGGGCUACCUUCUGCAUGGGCCACCGGGCACGGGCAAGUCCACCAUGAUUGGGGCCAUGGCCAACUUCCUCGACUACGACGUCUACGACCUCGACCUAACUUCCGUCAAGAACAACAGCGAGCUGCGGAAGCUAUUCCUUGAUACGACGGACAAGUCCAUCAUCGUUAUAGAGGACAUUGACGCGAUCGAGGUCGAACUCACUACCAAGCGCAAGGGCAAGAAGGCAGCCAACGGCGACGAAAUCCACGACAAGCGUAUGCUGAUAGAGUUUUCCGACAAGAACGAUGAAAAAAGCAAAGUGACUCUGUCGGGCCUGCUCAGCUUCGUCGACGGGCUGUGGUCGGCGUGCGGCAGUGAGCGGAUCUUCAUGUUCACGACGAACCACAUUGACCGGCUUGACCCAGCACUAAUCCGGCCAGGGAGGAUGGACAAGCACAUCGAAAUGUCUUACUGCCGCUUCGAGGCCUUCAAGGUACUCGCCAAGAGCUACUUGGACAUCACCGAGCACUCACUAUUCGCUGAAAUCGAGCGGCUGCUCGACGACACUGACACAACUCCGGCAGACGUCGCCAAUAACCUCAUGCUGAGGAGCAAGAGGAACGGUGAAAUCAGUCGACUGCUCGACGAGAUCGAUGGGGCACCGCGGGCAGAUGUGGCCAAAUGGUGCAAGAGGAAGAGAGACACGGACGAGUGCCUGGCAGGUUUCGUAGAAAUACUAAAGAAAUCCAAGAUGGAAUCUGCAACAACUCCAAUGGAUUCAAUGGAAGAAGCCAAAGAGGAACGACCUAACGCAAAAGAAAGCUACAAAAUGGGGCGGAUAUAUGAUGAGAACUAUAGGUUGGGAAAUGCCAGCUAGACUCCUUGUUUUGUGUUUGCUAUUUUACCAGACUUGCGUGUUUACUAGUCACUUAAGGUUUCAAAGCCAUACAUAAAAUGGAAUAAUAUAAAAUUAGUGGUGUAACACUACUUAUUUUCUCGAUCUAUAAUUAUUUCACGCUCUAUAAUUUGUCUUGUCAACUUUCAAAUGUUGCUAAAUCUUGGUAAUCACAGACUUAUAUAACUGGGUGUUGUUUGUCGAAAAUGCUUCGCCUCGAAUGUUCGAUGUGGGAUGAAAUAUUCGAGUGGGUCCCACCACCGAACCAGUCUCCCACCUUUUCCUCUCCACGUUCAAACUUAUCCCCAUUCCCUUCUCUCGCAUUUUGCUCUCUUCCUCUCCGCCUCUCACUCUUUGGCUAUCCACCACCUCGCUGAGAUGCAAUAGUAGGAGGCCGGCUUCCCAACCUCCACCACCACUAUCAGCACCUCACCACCACUGUAUCCCAUCGAAUCUAGCCACGCUAAGUAUUGACAGUCGUUAUAUACCACUUUCGAUCGUCAAUAUAUCCAAAAUAAAUAUGAACUAGCUAUGCUUGCAUGUAUAUUUUGUUUAAGAAUAUUCUAUCUCUACUUGUACUUGGAAUAUUAUUUGAAUUCAGAGAUUGCUGCAUAAAUGGAGGAGAAUCGACGGAAAUUAACCGAACAAUCAAUCGUCGUCCGUCGAGUGGCAAAAUUUUGGAACGAUGGCCUUACAAAACCAUUUUUAACACCUGCGAAUAAGCCCAACUAUCCUGCCACGGAGUAUAAAGCCCAACAAGGAGGAUCUAGACCAAAAUUGGAGGCCAGAGGAGCCAGCCCAGGUUCGGCCGAACCCUAGCCAGCGCCCCUUAUUCUAGCCUUCCACGUGGACGCUCUUGAUCACUCCUCAAUGACGGUUGUGGGGUAUUUCGGACAAUUCCAACCACCAUAACCGUCAUACUCAGCAUAUAAAAGGAGGAUGUCUCACUCACUCCAUCACACACUCAAGAAGAAGAUCAAGUUCUCUCAAAUUUAGUUUAUUGUUCUAGUGCUAGUGGAGUAGGAAUAGAGUUGUUUCCUUCGUCCUUGAGUCUUCAGGUGAUUUCGGGUAUAACUCUAGUAGCUCUUCCUUUCUUUAUAAGACUUACAGCAUUAAUGAAAUAUUCUUCUUUAUAUAGUUUCGGUCUUUUACAUAAUUCCUAUUUCAAGUACCGACUUUAGUUUGUACUUGUCUCGAUAUAAUUGUGUAGUUAUCUUACUAGAGAUAUGUAUUGGUGUGGGUUUAAUGUUCGUGCAAAUGAUUGCUCUAUAUUGAGCGCGAGGGUGUAGAGUAGUAUUUAAUAAAGUAAGUGCGGUGCUUAGAUUAUUAGAUAUCAUUAUUUAGGGUUAUAUGCCACGGGUUAGUAGAGGUGGGCUGCUAAUGGUGACAGUUUAGUACGGGUAUCCCUCCACAUUCAUAUAUAAUCCUAAGACAUUUUCCUAGUAUGGGUACUCUUUCGUAUUCAUUUCCGGUAGGAUGGCCAUGACGAAUUGUUGUUAGGAACUCGGCAAUUAUGGGUGGUCUCUCAAAACACUACGAGAGCAUACUUAGAGAGUAUUGGCUACAUGAUUGGAUACUAGCAAGUGUAAACUACGGACAACUAUAUACUAGAAGUAUAUGAAUGAUUCUUUACUUAUUCUUUCACCACUUAGCCUAGAUUAUAUUUUAGCAGGGUGGUCCUUAUAUCUUUCUUCUGUGUGUCAACCUUAUCCUACCAAUGAAUUAAUUAACCCAUAUAUAGACUUUGAUGAAUACAAGUAAUAUGUGAAUUAUUAACAUAGUACUCUUUUAUCAUAUCUUAGAUUAAAUAAAAAUAUGAUACCUUACAUUACUCCCAGGUGAAAUGCUACAAUCGUAUAUCCUUGCGCUUACGGAUCAUAUCUGUGACCAUAAAUAUACCAAGAAUAUUUCGGCGCUAUUACUGAGAAUUAUAUGUCUAGUAAUGUCAUUAAGAAAUAUAGACACUAAGCUCACCAGUAAAAAACGAUUCUUGCAUGUAGCCAAAACAAAUUUUUUGCAUGCGGCUAGGCGGCCUCCAUGCACCCAGGUAUCUGCAAAAAUCAAAAGUCAAAAGUUUCCACGUGGGCAGAAGCAACAGCAUGUGAAAAUGGGAUUUUCGUGUGCGGUCACCUAAGUGAAAAUAAUUUCAGCGAAAAAAUCAAAAUUCCGGUAAAAAAAAUUGACAUCCUAGCUCCCCGAUUCAUCCUAUACCCUACUUCCGAAACCAUCAUCAUCGUCAUAGCCUCCACCGUCGCCGUCAUCGUCAUCGCAGCCGCCGCCGCUCACUCCUGCCACCUAAGGCUGCUGUCGUCUUCGUCGCUGCCGCCGCCGCCGCCAUCGCUGUCCCGAGGUCGCCGGAUCCAAGCACCGUCAUCACUCCCGAGGGCGGGGCCGGCAGAUCUGCUCCAAGACUACCGGAUCCACGUGUCGGCGCCGCUCCCAAGGGUUGCGGCGGUGAAUCUGCCUCGAGCCCACCGGCGCCGCCGUCUCCAUGCGCCCACGAGCUUUACAGUUGCUUUCAAAUUUAGUCUUUAUAGCAGCAGUAUUAACAUAAGGUGAAAUUUCAUAUGGAUAUACAACUUUUUGCCAAAUAUCAUAAUCCACAACCAUCAUAUAAGAUUUCAUCUUGUCACACCAAUAAGGAAAAUCAACUCCAUCAAAAACAUGCGGCUUGGUCAAAAUCUUAUUAACCAUAGCAAAAACUCAAGAUCUAAAGAUUAAAAAAAGCAAACAUGGCUCUGAUACCACUUAUAGGAUCGAAUAUAAGAACCAAGCCUACCAUAGGGGGAGGGUGAAUGGUAGGAACACAAAAAAACCAAAACUUUUAGAAGAAAUAAAUUUUACCCUCAAACCCGAUGAAGUCCUCGGCAUAGCCGUUCUGAUCGCCGUGUGAACACCGAUCUGACUGCACCUUUUCCGCUGCCACCUCCUUGUCUGCUAUCUUCUCACUGCCGCCAAUAUGAUCGGUUGUUUGCCGCUGGUUAGACCACCAUUAUCAUACCGGUUAGACCUCUUGCCAGAAGCUACUUUGACCGUGGGAUCCUGAAAAACAUGAAAAUAGAUUAACUUUAUUGCGUUAAUGUGUUUACAAAGUGCAUCUAAAGUACUCUCUCAACUCACAAACUAGAAUCGAAGCAAACUAUAAAUUUCCUCUCACAAAAAGUCAAUAUCUUCCAGCCUUAACCCCUCUUCUAUAGUCAAUAUCUUCCAGCCUCAACCCCUCUUCUAUUUACACCUACAACAUGGUUGUCCCUACCAACAACAUGCCCAUACAACUCCACACUCCAAUCUUUUCAAACAUGGACUACAAUCCAAAUUUGACUCAUCUUUCUAUACACACACAACACCACGUGUAUGCCAUAUGAAAACCUUUAUCUUCAUGUGCAUUGUUCUCUAGCCUGAACAUUCCAUGUGAUAUCUUGACCAUUUGGACCUCAACUAGCUUCUCCCAAGCCUAGUCUAGAUCCAUCACUGGCUAUACUACCAUGGUCUCAAGCAACACCUGCACAAGAACAACAAAGAAACUCUUUAUCCGAGUACAAGUUCGUACCAACUUAACUCACAUCAACACACAAUAGUAUCACAUAUAAAUAGAAACUUUCUAGAAGUCAUAAACAUGAAGCAAUCUAGAAUUUCAUGAAAACAACCCGAAACCGACUCCAUCUACCCAGUCAGACCUCCCAAUCACCACCGGUAAAACCGGCGGCACCCAUCCGGUCUGACCAGUCUCCCAUAGCUGACCGCACUGUUCAUCCUCCAAAAACGUGGCACGCCGCAUUUUCACAAAUACUUACCUUUGACAAUUUUUCGUCACCAAGAUUAAUCAUCACAUUAUUUUACACAUCUUACAUUACACUUGGUUAGAGUUGGUGUGAUCUGUUUGUUAGUGGUGAUAUAAAAAUAAAAAUAUUGCCUUUGGCCUUAGCCAUAGUUGCCAAGAAAUGCUUUCUUCCUCAUAUUGUUGAACAGAGUUACAUCAGUUAUGAUUAGGUCAUUCUCAGUUGCUAAUGUGGUGUAUUUAUAUGUCAUGGAAGGUAAAAUCAUCACGGGGAAAGCAAAAGGAUGCAAAUCAUACAUUUCAAGAAUUAGAUAUUACUGGAGUGGCAUUAGUUGUCAUCUUUAACCAAGAUUUGCUUUUCGGAUUUCAAGAACUUCAAAGAAACACACUUUUCUGUUUACUGAUGUCUGAUUUUGAUACUCUAUUUGUAUAAAAUUACUAUUAUUGUUCCUUCACAUGGAAAUGCUUGGUGAUGUUCUUCAUUUCGUUCUUCAUAUCCCUGUAAAGCAGAGGAUCUAGAUAGAUGUCUGUAUGGCGGCAGAGGCCCUGAUGUCACCUGCUGCAUCUUUGACACUGUGUUCAAUAAUUCAUUAAGGAAUCAUUAACUUCAAUGCUAUGCUUUGGAAUAUUUUUCUCAUGACCAAAUAAAAGAGAAAAAAAUAGAGGGUUUCUUCUUCAAUGGGGUCAGAUGCAAAAAAAAAAAAAGUAGGUUUUCACUUGGUAGGAGCUAGAUUAACUGUAAAUAAUUUUAAAUCGUUCAUCCUUCAGAUCGUAGGGAGUUUUUAAUUACCUUGUGAUGUGUUUUGACUCUGACCGACAGUUCUAACCCCUGUUCAGGAUUUCUGCCAUGAAACAGUAGGUUUUUAAUUGCUUUCUCUGCUCUCAAGGGUUUGCCUUAACUUAUGAUUGUGUGAUAAUUUCUGUAAACUGUUAAGUUGGGAAAAUUAUAUGUUCCCACUAUAAAUUAGGUGCUAUUUUUUUUCUUAUGACACUUCUCAUUACAUUGUCAUUUUAUUUGUUUGAUUUUUUAUUGUCCAUUGUAUGAAAUCUGUCUUGUGCCGUUUAGUAGCUUAUUUCACACAGUAAUAUUUAUUUCAUAUAAACAGCUAGGCAGCUGCUAAACUUCGCAUAUUUAUAUACUGUGCAGAAAGGUAUUGUUUGACCAACAUUUAGCCAGUUUGAUUUCUGGUGUGUCCUACUCUUUGUCAUUUCAUAUACUUUCAAUUGUUCAACCCUAAAAUGAUUCCACUAAAUUUUCCCUACAUUUUGUCAACCGGCUGCAAGAAUUAAGGCCGAUACAUUUAUUUCUUCUUCAUUAUGAUUGAACAGGCUAUAUUUUUUCCUUCUUUGUGGUAAGAUUACACUGUAGAUAAAAAAAAGUAUCGUUCCUAUUUAUAGAAGAAAUCGACUCAUUUUUUGUCAGAAGAUGUAUUAGCUUGACAAUACAAUUCGGUUCUUUUGAUAUUUAUUUUUCACUGAUAAGAUUUCAAGUUCCUGAUAUUAUAUACAUGAGUAAACAAUUAUUAUUGUUCAUAUACAUGCGUUACCUUGCAUUUACCAAGCCCAUUCAAACAUUGUCGUGCGCAGACGCACACUCCCUCUGUCCCAAAAAUACUCAAUUCGUAGGUUUCCGUGUCCAAUGUUUGACCGUCCGUCUUAUAUGAAUAUUUUUUAUAAUUAGUAUUUUCAUUAUUGUUAGAUGAUAAAAUAUGAACAAUACUUUAUGCAUGACUUAUCCUUUAAAUUUUUUUUUAUAAUUUUCUAAAAUAAGACGGACGGUCACGAUAGAUACGGUUUUUAGACAGAGGGAGUACUUUUCUAGUUGCUGUGAUAUUUUCUCCUCCGGUCGCCGAUCUGAGGUCACCUGCGACUGCGACCUGCUCUGGCUGGUGUGGUGUCACCACCAGUUGACCCUCGGUGCCUAGUUGCUUAAUUACAGCAAUAAAUCUUCAUUUUUUUUUCUCACCUGCGCUGGACCGUUCAUUUUGUUUAUUAGAUCGCGAUGUUCUUUUUUUUUUCAAUGAUUGAUAUCUGAUUUUUGGCAAUUUUUAAGGAAGAGCGAUCUUUGUCACCAAGCAUAAGAACAUUGUGCAGACGUAGGCCAUCAGCUUCCAAGGCCGGAUGGCCAAUCCUCGGCCGCCGUCACCAUUGCAGCUUGAGGAUGACUCGGCACCGAGGCUGCUCGGUUAGGGCAGGAGAUUGAAAUGUGUUUGGUUUCCUUUUUUUCCAUGGAUACAAGGUUUGGUUAGGCUUAGGGUGUAAAUUAAUUAACUGAGCUGCAAGUUGGGUUGAGCGUAGAAGAGUCAGUUGUGAAAUGCUGUUCCCCACUCUACUCAUAUUUUUUUAAAAAUAAUAAUAAUAACCUCCAAAUUAUAAACAAUCUAGAUUUACGGUGUGUUCGGUACCUCCUUUUUCUAACUUCCCUCGGUUUCCACGCGCACGUUUUUGAAAUUGCUAAAGGGUGCGUUAUUUAAAAAAGUUUUUAUACGAAAGUUGAUUAAAAAAUCAAAUUAAUCCUUUUUUAAAAAAAUAGCUAAUACUUAAUUAAUCACAUGCUAAUAAAUCGUUCCGUUUUUUUUACUGUUUCCGGUUGGGAAUAUGUAAUAGCGAACACACCCAUACCGAUCAUUAAUAUGAGCGGCAGCUGUUGGGUAGGUCAAGCUGUCGUUUCAUAUUUAAAAAAAUAAAGAAAAGAAUCCAGGUCAAAUAAUACGACGUACUCCUACAAUACAAAAUUGACUACUUCUACCAAAGAAUACAAAAUUGACUAGAAUUCGGAAUUAAAAAAACGGCAAAUCGAUUUCUAUACGGUUUUCAAAUACGUAAGCAAUCUAGAUUAAUAUGUCAUCAAUAAUUAGGUGAGUUCGGAAACCUGUGUUGGGAACACAAGAUGUACGUACGAAAAACGGAGCGAUCUAUUAGUACGUGAUUAAUUAAUUAUUUGCUAUUUUUUAAAAAAUAGAUCAAUAUGAUUUUUUAAGAAAUUUUCGUAUGGAAACUUUUUUGCAAAAAGCACGUCGUUUAACAGUUUGAAAAAGCGUGCACGUGGAAAAAGAGAGGGGAGAGUUGGGAAACCUUACAAAAGAACGCACCUAUUAAUUUAUGCCGCAACAGUACAGCUAUAGGUGGAGCGAUCGUUUCCGAGCGGCAUGCAACAAAUAAUUAAACCAUCAACAUUACACACAUUGGGUUUCCAAAAAGAUUAUGACCAUCCAAAAUGUUUUAUUAAAAAUAAAUAAUAUUAAAAGAGAGGUUACAUCUAUAACUGGUAUAAAUAUUUGGAUUUUUCCAGUCGUCACCUCUCAAUGAUCGUUGUUUUCAUUCGCUCAUGUGUUUUCUACGUUCGCGCUAAGUUCGAUCCGAUUCAUCCGCCUGCAUCCGAUUCUGUUUUGGUUCGGUCCAUAUAGAAGUACAAUACAAGCCCAAACUGAUUUCAGUAUUCUAGGUCCAUCUACGAGCCCAUACUCACACCAAUUCCAAUCUAUACCUAAUUUUCGUCAUUAUGCCCGAUUUUCCACUCGUCCGUGCGAACCGUUCCUCCCAAUCCCAAUCGUUUGAGUCCGAGUCUUUCUUCAAAAAAAAAUCCCCGAGCUAGAUUUCCAAAUCAAUCAAUCAACCGAACAACCAAAAUCAACAUGGAUCGUCCGUGCGAUCCAUUCCUCCCAAUCGUUUGAGUCCGAGUCUGUCUUAAAAAAAAUCCCUGAGCUAGAUCCCCAAAUUAAUCAAUAAACCGAACAACCAAAAUCAACACGGAAAUACCAAAUUUAAUCUCGACCUCGUGAAUUUGAUCCCAACAAGAAACCUAAUACCCAUGUAUUACCUCCCUCCCAAUCCGAUCCAUCUGAGCAAGGAGGCCAUGGUACAAAGGCAGCAGGAGGCACGUCGGGUUGUAGGCGACGUGCGGCGGCGGAAGUGCUUGGCGCGGUCGUCGGGCUUGUGGACUAGCUCGACGCAGGACGGCGGCAGGGACGGCAUCAGUCCUUGUGGAGGGGAGACGGCUUCCUUCUUGGGCGUCGGUUGAAGGCCAGCGGUCUUGAGGGCAGCGUCGGCGGUGCACUCAUCGUAGGUCCCAAGGGGAGGCAGCGCUUCGAGAGAUCUCGUGGGCGGCGUCGCUUUCUAGACGGGCGGCAGCAUCAAGGCGACCAGCGUAUUCGGUGGUGGUGAGGAGGACGGUGAGGCGGCGCAGCUCCGGAGCCCUUCCUCCCGCCGGAUCUAGCGGAGGGAGGGCGGCUCCAGGCGGCCGCCGCUCCUCCCGCCGCACACCACCGACACCGCCGCACGCCGCUGCCGCGGAGGGGAGGGCGCGGCCAUCUCCGCCUCCCGCCGCUGCCGCCGGCCACACCGUCUCCACCCGCCGCCGCCACCCAUCACCCACCGCCUCUCCUCUUGCGUCGCCGCCUGCCGCCUCCGAGAGAGGAGAGCGAUAGAGAAGACCGAGACUCCGAGAGAGAGAGGAGAGGAAAACGAGAGAAACCCACCCACCCCCACCCCUGCGACGACCAGCUCCGGAUCUGGUGACAGGAGCGAGGGGGAAGAGCCCGGAUCUGAAAGAACCAACCUAACCUUCGCCUUGCUGGCCUGCGAUUGUGGAUCUGACCGACGAUGAGAGCUAGGUCUGGAGUUGGACUCUGGAGAGAGGAAAGAAACGAGAGACGGAGAGAGUGAGAGAGAGAGCGAGAAAAAUCAAUAUGCCUCUGCAGCAGCUCUCGGCCUUUCACGCUGGUCUCUGACACGGUGACACCACUCACUGUUUCUUUUCCUAUUUUUAAUUUAUUGACGAUAAAAAUCACCGAUUCCUUAUUUUUAAUAUUUCCUGAGAUAACAUUUUUUUGAGAUAGGGGUGUUUAGAAGUAGGGUGUAAACUUUUGUCGUAUCCCAUCGGAUAUAUUGGGACACAUUUGAAGUAUCAAAUGUAGACUAAUAACAAAACAAAUUAUAGAUUCUGUCUGUAAACUGUGAGACGAAUUUAUUAAGCUUAAUUAAUUCGUCAUUAGUAAAUGUUUACUGUAGCACCAUAUUGUUAAAUCAUGGACUAAUAAGCCUUAAAAAAUUUGUUUUGCAAUUUACACACAAUCUGUGUAAUUAGUUUUUUUUGUCUGUAUUUAAUACUCCAUACAAGUGUUCAAAUGUUCGAUAUGACAGGGUAAAAAAUUUUAGGGUGGAAUCUACACACAACCAUAGUCUCGUUGCAACACAUAACUACUGCUACCUCCAUUAUAAAUUAAGUUUACUGUUGUAUAUAAAUUUAUGCAUCGCCCAAACUAAAUAUAUGGACGCUUACUCCGUUAUGGCCCUCCCCUUGCCCCUUCUUCAACUCAUGAUUAAUUAUGUUUAAUUAUUAUAAACUUUCAAAUAUAUUGUUUAUUAUUUUAAAGCAACUUCUAUAUUGAAAGUUUUACACAAAGCACAUCUUAAUAAAGAAAGUAACAAAGCCAUAAUAUCCCACAUCCUUAAGACAAAGCAAUUUUCCCUAUCUCACAAAAUUGGGCACACUGUUGCAUACUACUCGGACUCAAACAAUUGGGAGGAACGGAUCGCACGGAGGAGUGAAAAAUUACACUUCAAAUCUCAAUAAAAAUCCAAUCAGCAUUUUCUUUUUUAAAAAUGGUGGGGCCCACCUCUAAGACCUCGUUUUCCAAUCUCUCCCCCCCCCCACCUCUCUCAUCAUCACGCACGGGCACAAGUGGAGCGGCGGCACACGGCGGUGCGCGUGCGGGGACGGGGGCGGGGGUAGGCGGUCAGCCGCAAUCCCUCGCGGCGGCGCGCACGACGGCGCAUGCAGCACGCGGAGGCGGGCCUGCGGGGGUGGGGGGCGGGUGGUUCAAGACGAGCGGCAGAGUGAGCGGCGGCGGGCGUGACUCCGGUCGACGGUGAGUCCACCACGCGCCGACGACGAGGAGGAGGAGCCCGCGGUGGCGGCGGUGGCCCACUCAUACAGACGAAACAAACAAUUUUGUAAGCAGAUUAAUUAUCUAAACCAAACAACAUUUUUUUUGUCACUAUACACACUCCGUAAUCACCCGGUGCAACGCACAGGGCACUUUUGUUAGUAAAAAACAAAUAAGACUAAUUUAAUUUCAGAAUAAAAAGAAGUAAGUUAGCUAAGCUCUAAUAUGAGUGCAAAGAAUGUAAGUGGAGUAAGAUCAUGAGAGAAUAUGUCAUCAUACAACAAUAUAACAUUUCUUCAGUAAAAAAAAACAAUAUAACAUUUCCAUGUCAGGCAAUAGACAUGGAACAACGAACCAACAAUAAAGUAAAAGUGGUGUAGAAAUAAGAAGUUUUCACAUAGGCAAGUGGCCCGCCACCUCUAUUGAUAGCAUCUGCUUGAGUAAUAGUACAAUCAAAGCAUGUUAUAGAGAAAAAAAUAUAUUUAAUAGUUGAAAAGUUAGCUAAUAGAAACUGAAGAAUUUAUGUCCCUUUGAAAGUUGAAGAAACCAAGAAACAGUGUGGAGUGUAAAGAUAGUGUCAUUAUGAUAUUAUACAAUAACUAGCAAAAUGCCCGUGCUUCGCUACGAUGUAUUAAAACUAAAAAUAUUUGUUUUUAACCGAAGUUAUUUUCACACUGCUUUGGUACUUUUGCUCGCUAGAAAAAGUCUCAAAUGAUAGAGAGAAAUAUAGUAACUCAUAAUAAAUUAGUAUUCAAUAGUGCAUUGCAAUGGGAAAAAUAAUGGUAUUAACUUAGUAAAGUAAUAAAAAAGAGCAUCCACGUUAGCUCUUAUGGUCUAGAAAUUCUCAUAUUAAUUGGAGUAAAAUAUAAAAAAAUAAGGAGAACUCAUUGUAGACAAGGACUCUUUCAUUUUGUUUUUUUUAAAAAAAACCACGUUGUCCAAUUGGAUAUAAGCAUAAAACAAAUCUUUUGCAAAACAAAAAACCUAAACUGGAUAGUGUCAACGAGUGAUACUCGUGGACCAGAUGAGUUAAGUAUUGGGGUACGUUGGAACAAGGGUUUACGUAGUACGACAUCAAGCAGACAAAAGACAAUGAUUAUACUGGUUCAGGCCCCCUUAUCAGGUAAUAGCCGUAGUCCAGUUUAUAUGGGAUUGAUGAUGAUGAGAACAUAUUACAAAGAGAGUAGUCGAAACAGAGGGUACCGACGAGAUCGUAUUUGAGGGAUUCGACGAGAUCUCCCGGCGAGUUGGCUCUCCGUACUCCGGCUUCGUAAACUUUGGUGGGUGUGUUGGCGAAUAGGUUCGACGAUCUUCACCACCCCCCAGUUGUCUCCUUUUAUACCGUAGAUUAUCUUGACCCCCAAGUAAGGCUUGGAGAUAUGUAAUCUGGCAUGAUAUACUAGAGGUUCUAUCCCCUCCGAGUAGGACUCUGGUAAUUUCUUAACUCGUAGAGAUAUUUUCCAUAAUUCGAGACAGAUUCCUAACGGUGUAUACAGAAACGAUCCAUGCGCAUGAAGGAUAGAGGGUAUGCCUUAUCCGUAACCUUGACAGUAGCUCCCGACUUCAACUUAAAUGAAUUAAUGUUGUCGUUCACAACUUCUCCUGAUAGCGUCUUGGCGUGCUCGCUAGGUCGAUCUCGGUUACUAACCGUAGAGACAUGGAGCUAUCGACAACGCAGAAGAGAACCCAACGGUGUGAAUUUUGAAUUUAAAUUGAAGUCUGAAAAACUGCCUCCAACGGGCCUUAGAAAUUUCCGGCGGCAAUCUCUCCCCUUUCCUCGAAAUGCGGAUCGUCGGGUGGUGCGCCUAUUUAAUGAAAUUUUGGGAUCCAUUUCAAGUCUGUUCGCCAAAAAACCCUCACUGUUCCUCGGCUUCAUCGGACUUUUCGUUUCCCUAAAAUCCCCAAUCUUCAACACCCUACACCGGCGGUCCUCUCCCGGCGAUCUCCUUCCGAUGGCGGACCUCGACCAAUCUUCCUCCGACGUGGCCGCGCUGAAGAAGCUGUACAAUGAGGGAGCCAUCCCUCCGAAGCAGACCAUGGCCAAGGAAGCAGGAGGUACUUAUCCUUCCCCCGUCCUAGGUCGUAUGGUAGCAGUAGAGGAUUUCAUCCGCUGUGGUUUCUUACCUCCUCCUUCCGAAUUCCUUUUAUUGAUCUUGAACUUCUAUGGCCUUUCUCUCUUACAUCUGAACCCCAAUUCUAUUGCUUUCUUGAGCAUUUUUGCUUACCUUUGUGAGGCCAACAUUGGGGUAGUGCCCUUCCUUGACCUUUUUCGUUUCUUCUACGAACUCCGGUGGAUGGAAGCCAAUCGGGUUUCAGGAUGUUGCGGAUUUCGCCUUCGUGAUGGCAUGAAGGCGAAAUACAUCCCUCUCCAAUGCCACACAUCCCAGAGCCAAUGGAGGUCGAGAUGGUUCUAUCUCAAAAUUAAAGAACACGACCCGGUUCUUGUCAUACCUGAGGUCCAACCGGACCAAUCCGAGAGCUGGACCUCUAAGCCUCCGUUGACACUGUCGACGGGGGAUACCCACAGACCGGAUACAGAGGGUAUUGGGGUACGCUGGUACGAGGAUCUACGUAAUGCGACAUCAAGCAAAGAGAAGACAAGAAUUAUACUGGUUUAGGCCCCUUGGUAGGUAAUAGCCCUAGUCCAGUUGAUAUGGGAUUAUAUUGUAGAAACCACAGAUUACAAAGGGAAUAAUAGAACUCAGCAAUACCGACAAGAUCGUAGUCGAGUUGGCCCGACUAGAUCACCCGGCGACUUGGCUCCUGUAGGCUCCGGCUUCGUAGGCUGUGGUGGAUGUGUUGGCGGUGAGAUUCGAUGCCUUAGGUCCUCUCGUGGGGUCCCUUUUAUACCGUGGGUCAGUCGAUCUCCAAGUAGAACUCGGAGAUAUCGGACCCCACACGAUAUGGUAACGACCCAGUUCCGUCCGAGUAGGACUCCUUCCAUCUGUGGACUCUGUUUAUGUUACGUGAUAGAUUUCCUUAACAUGUACAAGAAACACCCGUAUACGCGCGGGUAUACCAUAUCAGUAUACAUCGUAUAUUCAAGGAUGGAGGGUAUGCCUUAUCCGUAACCCUUACAGUAGCCCCCGACUUCUGCUUAAAUGAACUCAUGCAACCGAUAGCGACUUAUGAUGUCGAAAUCGUUGUCGUUCUCAACUGGUCGAUCUCGGUGUGGGAACCAUAGAGACGAAAAGUUAUCGACAACACCGUAUGAAGUUCAACGGUCAUGAGUGAAUUUAAAUUGAAGUCUGAAAACUGUCGCGCGUAACGGACCCAGAAUUUUCCGGCGGCAAUCUCUCUCCUUUCCUUGGAAUUCGCACCACCGGUAGUGCGCUUAUUUAAAGGAGUUUUGGGCAUCCAUUUUGAAGUCCGUUCGCCAAAGAACUCUCCAGCUUUCACACGCCCCUCGUCUUCUCCGCUUCCGCAGAAAAAACCCUAGCUUGCUCAUCCCGAUUUGUUCUCCGGCGAUCUCCGGCGGUGAUGGAUCUUGACAAGUCCACUUCCACCACCGCGUCCCUGAAGAAGAUGUAGGACGACGGCGCCCACCCUAGUCGCGGGACCAUGGAGAGGGAGGCAGGAGGUAUUGAGCCCGAACCCCUCUUGGGCCGCAUGGUUGCGGUUGAGGAUUAUAUUUCUUGCGGUUUUCUUCCUCCGCCCUCCGAAUUUCUUCUUCUCGUCUUGAAUUUUUAUGGCCUUUCCUUGCUCCAUCUGAACCCCAAAUCCAUUGCCUUCCUUAGUAUCUUCUCUUAUCUUUGUGAGGCCUACAUUGGGGUAGAGUCAUUUCUUGAUCCCUUUCGCUUUUACUACGAGUUGCGCUGGAUGGAACCGAAAAAGGUAUCCGGAUGUGUCGGGUUUCGACUUCGGGAUGGCCUAAAGUCGCGAUACAUCCCCUUCCAGUGCCCCUCUUCUCGUAGCAAAUGGCGGGCGAGGUGGUUCUAUCUUCAGAUAGAAAACUCGGAUCCAGUCUUUGUUGUCCUUGAGGAGCAACCAGACAAGAUUCCAGAGUGGACCGCCAAACCCGCCCUAACUCCCUUCCUUCAGUCUUUCAUCGACGUUAUCGAUGACCUCCGAGUACGAGGGUUGUCGGGGUAUAAAGUUGCUGCCGACUUCAUCAGUAGGCGGAUCCAACUGCUCCAGGCCCAAACCCACCCGGCCUUUGAUUAUCCUGGGCCGAAGGACACGACCCGGGUUUCUCCUCAGGGUAUUUUUCUUGUAUUACAGAUUUCAUUCCUUAUGUGCAUGUUCCUCCUGACUUAUUGAGUUCCGGUUCUCGAUCUACAGGUUUGAAAAGAGACACUGUAGAGCACCGCGUCGGUCAAGUGAUGAUCAGCAGCCCCACGACGGCGAGCAACAUCCCCGCCCCUCUUUGCGAGAAGGGGACGGCCGAGCACGAGGCUGCGAUCAACGUGAGUGUACUCGAUGACUCCUUUACUUCUGUUUUCCUGGGAUCGCAUUGUGACUUCAUGUACGCAAGCUCUCCCUUUCACGGAUGUCAUCAGGCCGCUCGCGGAUCACCAGGUGGCGGCGUCGUUAAAGGAGGGUGUUGCCAAGGAGGCGUCCGACAUUGCUGCUUCUGCCACGACGAGUGGCAGCAACGUUCCGAAGAAGGGGAGGAAGUUCUCCUCCAUACUCGGGAACCGUCAGAAGGCGCCUACUCCGUUGGUAAGCCUCUCUUGUCUUUUAAUCGUGUAGUCAAAAUAUUUUGACCUCAUAUCAUGCUAUCUUGCUUAGGCCUCGGAUGCGUCUCCCCCGCCCCAACGAAGGCAAAGGCUGGUGACGCUCGGCGAAAAGUAAGUAGAUGCAUUACAAGUCAUCUUAUUCACAAAGUCUUGAUUGCCUGACUUCAUGAAAUCGCGGGAAUUUUUUGCAGGGCGGCGCGGGCGAAGGCUGCGCAAGACGGGUCCGGUGCGGCCUCCAGUGGAUCCCCUGCAGCGGCCUCGACAGAUGUCGUGGUCGUGGCCAGGGAAUGGGAGGUGACGCCAAGCGGCCCCGCCGGUGGCCUUGUGCCUGCUCAGGGCCUGCCUGCUGAUAUCCUCUCCUGGGGGGAGCUCCAAUCCGAGAUGGAGCGUAUCCUCCAGGCAGGUGCUCGAGGCGUAGGCUGCGAAAUCGAGGAGGCCAGGGCAGCGGCGUCGUCAGCGAACGAGCGUGCCAACAUGCUAGCGCGUGACCUGGCGGAGGCCCGAGAGGACCUCGUGAAGAUGAGGGAGCUGGUGGCCGGCAACGAAAGGCAGCGACAAGGACACGAGCACCGGAUGUCGGAGCUCGAGAACAUUUUGUCAAAGAUCCGCGGCUCGCUGCGGGUGUCUUACACUGGCCUACACCAGCUCGUCGGGGAGUGCUGCGUCACGACCACCAUUCCGGCGAACCCUGACGAGUUCUCGCUGACUGACGUCCUCGCUCGCGGAACUGGCCACGGCGAUGGUGGAGAUCCCCUCCAAGCAUGCGGCCAGGAUCGGGGAGGAGACAUCUAACGGGAUUUACACCGCGGCGUGCCACGUCCUUGCGUGCGUAAGGUUGGCGCACCCUGAUCUCGACCAUAAGAAGGUUUUGGAUCAGGAGGCCGCCGACGACGCACGUCGGGGCGUGAUCGAGGAGGUCGGUGUCCUAGGGGAGUCCGUGCUCCCCCUUUUUGAAGAGUAGGGUUUUGUUUCCCUUGUACCCCUUAUCCAAUUAUGCUGUAAAACUUUCGUAGGUUCAAACUGCCCUUGUGUAUGCAGUUGUUCCCCUUGUUUUCUUAGCAUGUUGAUUCCGAGUACUUUAUUGUCGCUGUAGAGAUGUCGAUGUUGAGGAUGUCCAGUAGCGUGGGCAACCUAAGACGCCGGUUGUCGUUCCGGCACUUGCGCUUGAGCCGUACGUGCCGCAGGACGAUGUCGAUCAAAGCUUGUCCGUGGGAGCGGACAUGGCGAUGACUUCCCUAGGUUCGUGCCUUGGUUUUCACUUCCUUUACUCUUUUGUUCGGGUUGACUUAAUAUGUCGUGUUCUCGAGAGAGAAGAAUGACUUGACUUAGUCAUUUCCGUGUUUGGGCAGACCUCGAGAGUGAGUUGGCUGACAGAGAUCGUCGAAUCCAAUACUGGCGGACGAAGUUCGAGGUGGCCGAACUCGAGAGGACCAUGGUGGAAGUGAAAAAAGACCAAGCCGUGGAAGCGCUCCGAGGUCGCGAGGUGUGGUUCAACUCGUACCUCAGGAGCUGCUAUAUGGCAAUGGCUGGAGUCUGCCGGGAACUCCAGGUACCUCGCAGGAAUCCCGAGGAGUCGGCGGCCAGAUAUAUCUCGUGGUUGAAUGGGGCCUGCGCCCAGCUCGAAGGCAUCGGCAAGCGUAGCGACGAGGCCCUGAAGCAGGAGUGUCGUCGGUCGAGCCGGUUUGUCGGAGGGCACGUGCUGGCCUGUAUCCGAGAUCACCGCCCACAGCUGCAUCUCGAGUUCCUCCACGAAGGGUUUUCAUGUUCUCGGAGGGCUGCCGCAGAGAUAGACGGUCUGGCGAAGUCGAUGGCGCCACUCGCCGAGAAGGUCUUUCAGUCCAUGGAUUGGUGUUGGCCGUCCUGGUAGUUUUUGUAUCCUGUAGAAAAUACCUCAAGGAAACAUGUAAUAUAUUUUGGAGCAUCUAUGAAUUGUAAGAAGUACUUGUGAAAUAGAAAAGGAAUCUAUCUAACUAAGUUUUCUUACUCUGGAUGUGCUGUGUAUGAGUGUUUUCUCAUUUCGCAACUUCAAUCAAUCACUUGAGUCAUACACUCUCCCUAGCCCCCAGCCUUGUCGUCGGAGAAUUGUUCUCGGAGGAUAAGGCUCUUGGACCCUUGACCUGCCUCGGUUGAAAAAAGCACUGACCCUAGCCCCCAGCCGUGAAGUUGGAAAACUCAAUUUCCGAUUACACGGCCUGGUUAAUAUGCACAGCGAGAACUCUUACAUGACCAGAUCUUACAUGAUCGUUUGUCUCUACAUGAUCUGACAAGGCCUUAUCCGCUCUGGGCGUCCCUAGCCGAAGUUCCCUUAGGUUCCUCAGAGGCCUUGUCAAGACGGCGUAAAGGGACAUGAGGAUAGGUUUCAACGCUAGGUGUCGUCGUGGUAAGGGAUUGUCGGGAAGGAACAUUUUGCCCGAAAUUUUUACCUAAAAUCAACUUUAUGGAAAUCAUGAGAUGUCUUACAAAUAUGAAUGCUAUUGAUUUAUACAUAGAAUUUACGUAAUUGAUCAAUAUUCCAGGAAUUUGCUAACUCGCGGCCAUCGCCGUCUGCAAUCUUGAAUGCACCUGGUCGCAAGACUUGCGUGAUCGUGUAUGGUCCCUCCCACUUGGGUAAGAGAUUGUUGCGCCCUGCUUGACUUUGAACCCGUCGAAGGACGUAAUCGCCGAUCGAAAGUGUGCGUGCUCUGAUGCGCUUCUCGUGGUAUCGGCUGUAACGCCCCGAUUUUCGUUCGGAAUUAAAAAUCAUUUAAUAAUGCAUUUUCUGGAAAUUAAAUAAAAGUUAAAGCAAUUUAAUCAAGUGAAAUAAUGGGAGAAUUUGAAAUUUUCCUUUAAAAAUCAUUGGCCGAGAAUAUUUUGUAAUAUUCUCUGUGCCCUAAUAUACUCUCCGAAAAUUUCCCGUGAAUUUUCGGAGCUCAAUAAAUAAUUUUAAUAAUACAAAGUUCAUUAAACCAAUUAAAUAAAAAAAGAAAACGAAUUAAAGUCCUCCUUCUUUGCUUUGGGCCACUUCCGGCCCAAGUUCCCUUCCCCCCCAGGCCGGCCUUCCCUCCCUCGGCCCGCUCGGCUCUCUCUCUCGAAGUCUACUUGGCGUCCCCCAACCGUCUCCUCCUCUCUCCUUCCCCCCGAGCCGCCGACAGGUGGGUCCCACCUGUCAGGGCCAUCCCUAACCUCCGACUCCCUCAGCCGAAACCGCCGCCACGGCCUCCCCACGUCGCCGCCGAUUCCGCCUCCUCCUCCACCCGCGCGCUCGCCCCGACCGCGGGACCGCGUCGCCCCACCUCCUCCACUCUCCUCCCCCACUUUCCCCCUCCAAAACCGGCGCCGAACCACCCCACUUCGCCCACGUCGCCGGAGCCCACUCCGAAGACCGUUGCCGGUCGAUUCCGCCCUCCGCGGCCAUGAUCCCACCGCCCCGAGCCAAUAAAAACGAUCCCCGUGGUCUCCUCUCCCAUUUCCCCAACUUUCCCGAGCUCCCGGCGCCCUCGCCCGCUCUCCCCUCGCCAAGCCGAGCAGCCGCCGCUCGCCGGAGUUCACCGGCCACUUUUUCCCGCCGCCCCAGCCACCACCGCGCCGCGCCGUGUAUGCCGUCGGCUUCGCCUCGCCGUGCCGCGCCCCGGCCUCCACUCCUUUUCCCCCAAACCACCACCGAAAUACCACCCCACCGUGAAAACCGAGCCGCCGCUCUUCCCUCCGUCUCCAGCCGCUCGCCGCCGGCGAUACUGACCUCGCCCGGUCGUGCGGCUGCCUCCCACAGCGCCGCCGCUCCGCGCCGCAUCCCGGCCACCGGCCCACUCCUCCAAUCCACCCCCGAAGCACCAUUCCCGCCGCAAACCCGAGCUACCGCCAUUUCUACCACCUCCAGCCACCGAUUGCCGUCGACGGGGACCAUCCCGUGCCGCGCCGCUCAGACAUCCAGGUUUUGGGGUGGAGCAGCACCUCGGCCACCACUCCCUCGGCUCUAAAACCCAUCGGAACGCCAUCUGCCCCGCGCGAGGUCACGGCGCCCCUUGGCGUCGCCGGAGCGCCGCCACCCCCUCUCCGCCUGAGCUCCGCCGGCCGCCUUCCUUCGUCGUUUUGCCGUCGGGCGCUCGGUGAGCAUCUCCCCUUCAACCCCUCACCUUCCUCCGCUGCCUCCCGGCUGUGCCGCCGCGCUAGUGGUCGCCAUCGGUGACCAUCGGGCCACACGCCACCGCUCCCCGGCCGGCCGGUGGGCCGGUUCCCGCUCGCCCGCGACCGCCCGAUUCACCCCGGGUCGAUUUGGGCCGUCCACGUGACCCUCCCCGUGCCGCCCGGCGUUGCUGCCCCUGUGGCGCCACGUCGGCGCCACCUUGUCCUCCCCGUCCGCCGUGGCCACCACGUGGCUGCCACGUGGUGCGCCCGCGGGUAGCACGUGCGUGGACCGAGUCCACUGUGCGCCGACCUCCUUUGAGCCACCGACAGGUGGGGCCCGCUCGUCGGCGCCACCUAUUCCCCCCCGGUGACGUCAUAAACCAUUAAUAAUUGCGCAAUAAAUCAUUAAUAAUUAUAGAAAUUCAUUUAAUGGCUCAAAACCUUCUAAAAUCCAUAUCUAAUUCAUUCGAAUUCCGAAUUGAGCCGUUCAACUUGCAAAAUUCAUCUAAAAUUGAACUCUACAUGUUUGUUUAGUUUUUAUGUACUGUUCCCUUGGUUUUUAUUAGAGUUUUUCCUCGUUUUGCGUGCCGGCGUGUAGAAUCCGUCGUUUCGGAAGUCCGCGGUCGCGAGGAAAAGAGUUCGGAAGAUCAAAGUGAAGAAGCAAGGCAAGUCACACAUUCCCCUUGAGCAUAUUGAGCCUAUUUUAUAAAUGUUUUACCGUUUGCAAAUAAGUAUGCAUGUUUUGUUAAUUACAUGGGAUCCGGGUAUUACCUAUCUGCUCGCUUGUGCCAUGUUUACUUGAUAUCUGUCCUUUGUCAACCGGGGGUAAUAAAUCGACUAGCUCAUGUUACUUAUGUGACCUAGCUAGAACUAUAUGCUUAGCCAUGCUUAAUUACCACUAGCUUAGUUGAUGGGAUAAUUACAGUAUUAGACAUUUUUAGUAUCAGAAUGAGCUGCGUGCUCGAGACAUCUGGCCAUGCUUCAUGGUCGUAAUUAUUCAACUAAAAUGCGACUGAAUGGUGGGCUGUGGGUGCAUGGUUUUGCUAGUCGCACCCAUGGCAAUUAAGGACCGGUUCGCGGGAUGCCCUAGAAGAACUUAUCGUACUUACCACAAGCCAGCGUGGGCAACGGCUGGGCUUGUAGUAUAGCUUUUCUCUAGCUGACGCAUCCAGACAAGGGUGGGCGUGAUGGAGUUUGGAUGGGCCCUGCGACGGCCUAUACGGCUUCCGGAUUCACCUAGGCACGAGAGGGGACUGCCCGUCGCCCGCUGGGGACGGGGGUGAAACCUGAGGUGUGAUGUGCUUGGCUAGAGGGGGUUAUGCGAAGGGUCCUGUCACGGCCUCUUUCCGGUAUGUCGUGGUGGCAUGUCGGCGCACGGAAACGUGUCGUGGGGCUGUGUCUUGUGGGUACAGUUGUACACCUCUGAUCAGAGUAAAACUAUUCGAAUAGCCGUGCCCGCGGUUAUGGGCGGUCGACCAGAUUCACCGUGAUUAGUCUCACACUUAAUAAAUCGACCCAAUGCACUGUAGUUCAGGUGGGUUGGUUGGGCCUGUUCAACGUGGUGUAGCGUUGAUCAGUGGAGAUUUAAUGUUACUUUAAUUACUCAAUUGUUUUACUGUUUGCUCAAUAAAAUGUUUUACAGCCGCCUUUAUGCAAAUAGCCACAAACUGUCCUUGUGUUCCCCUUGCACGUCUGCAUCGUUGGUGUGGCUUGCUGAGUACGGUGGUUGUACUCAGCCUUGCUAUUAUUCCCCCUUUUCAGAAGUGCAGUGCUUCUGAGUUGAAGACGAUGUUAGAAGACCAAGGCUCAGACCCCAGUUGAGUUUUGCCUGUGGAGUGGAGCUGAAGCCCCGCUAGGAUCGCCUUUUUCCGCUGCUGCUGCUUUCGUUUCGGUGUGAGGACUAAGUGCCUCUUCUGUAAGUAUUUCUGUAAGUAUUUGACGCUUUAUUUACGUUUGGAACUGUAUAUUACUUGUCGUUUUGUGUACCUUGGCUGGUCCUGGACAGGGAUUUAAUACACAAAAUAGUCUGGAAAUUUGGGCUAAAUUUCUGGGCGUGACAUCGGCGAAGGACCUGCUGGUAGCUGGCUGCUCUGACGGCAACUCUUUCUCGAUGUUCUUCGAGUAGAUUCACGUCAUCACUUCGCUGCUCCUCCUGAUCCUCGUCGGAGUACUUCUAAACUCGUGUGCUCUGAUGUCGUAGCUCCGUGGGGAGCAUGGCUUCUGAGCCAUACACGAGGAAGAAGGGUGUCUCCUUGUUGGUUGUUGUCAGCGUGGUACGCACGGCCCAUAGGACAGAGGGGAGUUCUUCGACCCACUUCUUGUCGUGUGACAUGAGUCUGUCGUAGACACGGGUCUUGAUCCCUUGUAGUACUAUGCCGUUUGCCCUCUCGACCUGUCCAUUGCUCUGAGGGUGAGAAACCGAGGCAAAGCAAAUCUUGACUCCCAAUCCGAUGCAGUAAUCCUGGAAGUCGGCACUGAUGAACUAGGAGCCGUUGUCUAUUAUGAUGCGGUGAGGCAAUCCAUAUCUGCCGAAUAUCCCUUUGAUAAAUUUGAUGGCGUUGUCGGCCUUAAUUUCCCCCGUGGGCGUUGCUUCAAUCCACUUGGUGAACUUGUCGAUCGCCACGAAUAGGAACCUGUAGCCGCCCUGUCCUCGUGGGAAUGGUCCGAGUAUGUCGAGCCCCCAGCACGAGAACGGCCAGGUAAGAGGGAUAGUCUAGAGCGCCUGCGCUGGUAGACUUGUGUGUUUGCUGUGGAAUUCGCAGGCUUCACACCGCUGAACCAUGUCACAAGCGUCUUUGAGCGCGGUCGGCCAGAAAAACCUUGUCGAAAAGCUUUUCCGACUAAUGUGCGGCCGGCGGCGUGUGACCCGCAGAUCCCUUCAUGUAUGUCUAGGAAGAGAUAGUUGCCGUCGUCGAACGAAAUGCAUUUGAGAAGUACUUCGUUUGGCGCCUUUUUGUAUAGAUCGUUGCCGAUCAUACAGUAGAUCUUGGCUUGUCGAGUUAUUUUCUCGGCUUCUGCGUCGUCCUCGGGCAACUCGUCACUAUUCAGGAACUUGAUGGGUGGGGUCCGCCAGUCGUCUGUGGUCUCGAUGUCGGCAACGGCGCGUUCUGCCUCUGUAGCCCCCGAGCUUAUGUCAGGGGCGACUGUGAUAUCUUCGUCGUUUGCCUCUGCGAUGCCGGAGGAGGAGACGGCGACGUCGGCUGGCUCACCGGCGAGGAACAGUAGCCGCCCGGAGGAGGGGAGGUACUGGACGCCGACGAGGAGACCACUCCGGCGAGCUUCGAGCGAGGAGGAGGUGAGGCCGGAGACGAGGACGGCGUCGCGGAGCCAAGGGACGCGACGGCACGGCCGACCGAUGCUCAGGCGCGGCGGCACAGGCGGCUGGAGGCGGCCGGCGCGGGGGAAAGAGAAGGGGGACGGCGGGGAGGGGUGGUGAGGCCACGGGAGAGCGCGGGAGGGGGCAAAAACUGGAGAACGGAUCGAGGGGGUUCCAUUUUAUAGGAUGGGGGAGGGAGCCGGGCACGGGAGAGGUGGGAACGGCGGCGGAUAAGUCGCCCGGCGGCCAUGGAAAGCGGCCGGGAUUGGUGCGGGCGUUCCAGGUGAUUAAAAGCACGAAUCAAGGGGGAAUUAAGGGGGAAAGAGAGAGGUGGGAAAGGGGAUUAAUUCCCCCUAAUCAAUUUUGGAAUUAGUCAUUUGAAUCGAGCGGAUUUGAGGGAGGAAUUGGUGCAAGGGUUAACGGGAGAGAGAAGAGGAGGCUGGCGGCUGGAGGUUGAAGAUGCACUGUAGCAUGGGGGAGGCAAAGUAGACUUUGGAAAAUGACCGGCCCAAAAGGAAAGAAAAGGAGGAACGGGAAACAGCUUCGGCCGAGAGGGAGGGGCUGCUGCAGCUCGGGUUGCGACGUCGGGAGAGAGAGAGGAUGGAAGGGAAUGGGCCAAAAAGGGCCCAAUCUGAGGAGGAGGAUUUAUUUUAGGUUUUCUUUUUAGUAAACUUUGAUAAUUGUUGUUGUUGCUUAAUAAUUAUUUCCGUUGUUCUGAAAAUUCAAGUAAAAUUUGAGGGCUCCUUUUUUACCAAGAAGAAUUCAAUAAAAAUUCUUCGGGCCACAUUUGAAUUUUUCUUGUACGUAUUUUAGUGUUUGCCAAUUUCUUUUCGAAUUUUAAUUAAUUCUAUUAUUCCAUUUAGAGAAUGAUUUUUAUUUCGGGAUGAAUUUAUCAGGACGUGACAACCAGGGUCAGCACCAUCCGAUCCAGGGCUUCGCCUGGACAGUGUGGAUUAGUCUCCAAUGACGGUUGGAGGGUAUUUCCGACCAUUCCGUCCGUCACAACCAUCAUUGGGAGGCUAUAUGUAACACCCUGAAAAUUCGACCAACGAAAUCAAAACUCUAAAAAUGCGGACUUUCAAAAACUUUUUAAACCAAUUGCAUCAUGCCGACUUUAUUCGCCUGUUUCAUUGGAUUUUGAUGUCGGAGUCUAAUUAAUCGCGAAUAAUGAAUAACUAGCUAGGAACAAACCAUAAAAUAAAAUCUAGUUGACUAAAUAAAUAAUUAAAAUAUAAAUUAAAAUAAAGGUUAGGUGGGAUUGAAAUAAAUAAAAUAAUAUCGCAACCAUAUUAGCAAUAAUUAAAUUUUAGUACGAUGGAAUAACCCUAAUUAAAAUAAAUUAUAUAAAAAUAAAAUAUGAGUAAUAUUAAUCUAGGGAGAAUUCAUUAGUUAAGAUUACAUGAAUAUUGAGUAAAAUGCAUAUAUGUAAAAUUAGGAAUCGUGGAAUCAAAUUUAUAUGGAAAAUACACUAAAACCGGGAUAAAUGGGAAAAGUCACUGUUCAUCGGCCGCCAAGUGUUCGACGUGGUUCCCCUAGCGCUAGCCCCUCCUCUGCCACGCCGCCUCGCGCCCCGCGCGCCGCGCGCCGCUCCGCCUCCUCUCUGUCGCCGCCCGUCGCGUCGCCGCUGUCGCCGUCGCCGUCGACGUCCCAUCGCCGCCUCGCGCCCCGAGCCGCCGCGCCGUCACCAUCGUCGCCUGCCGCCGCGCAUCGUCGCCCGCGCCUCGAGCCCGCGCGUCGCCCGUCGCCACCACCGUGCGCCAAGCCCCGCGCUACCUCGCGCCCCGAGCCGCCCGUCCCAUCGCCGCUCGCCCGUCGUCUCGCCCUGUCGCCGUCGCGCCGCGCUACCGUCGCGUCCCGCCCCGAGCCGCGCGCCACCGCUGUCGCCGCCGCCGUCAACGUCCCGUCGCCGCGCGUCCCAUCGCCACCUCGCGCCCCGCGCCGCCGCGCCGCUGUCGCGUCGCCCCUCCCCUUCCCUUUCUUUCCCCCUCCUCUCCCCUAUAAAACUCCACCCCUCCCCAUUUCUCCCCACUCCAUCUCCCCAUCCUCUCCCUCUUCCCCUUCUCCACGCGCCGCCGUUGUCGUGCCGUUGCGCCGCCACCUUCGAAGUCGCCGCGCCGCCGUUCCCGUGCCGCCGCGCUGUCAUUCCCGUGACGCCGCGCCGUCGUUCCCGCGCCGCCGUUCCCGUGCCGCCGUGUCGCCGCUCCCACGCCGUCGUGCGCCACCGUCGCCGCUGCCGCCGCCGGUGAGCCGCCCUCUUUUCCCCUUGCGUCCACCGCCGCCGCUCGGGUGAGAGAGAGAGAGAGCCGAGAGAGAAAGGGAGAGGAAAAGAGAGGCCGGCAGAGAAAAGAAGAAGAGAGGAGAGAGAAAAAGAAAAAGAAGAGAAGAAAGUGAAAAGGAAAAGGGAAAAGAGAAAAGAAAAGAAAAAAAGAAAGGGAGAAAAAGGAAAAAGGAAAUAAAUAGAAAUUAGAGGGAGUUUGGGGAAGUUUAGGAAAUUUAAAAUAAUUAGAAUUUAAUUAUAGAUUAAUUAUAGUCGUAGAAUUGCAAAAAUGUAAUAUAAAUUACGGAUUAUUCUUGGUAAUCGAUUCGCGGUAGUAUUUUAGAUGAAAUUAAUAACUAAACAAAUAGACGAAUUCCUAUAGAUUAUUAUAGAGUAUUUUUGGGUAAACCCUAUAAGUAAUCGAUUCACGGUAGAAAUUCGGAUUCAAUCGAUAGGAAUUUUAGACGUAUAUUAUGUUUAAUCGUUUAGUCAUAGACUAAAUUAAAUGGUAUAAUAUUUUUAGGAUUCCGUCCGACAUUUAGCUCGCGAGAAGAAAUUUCUAAUCUAAUAUAUGGAUAUAAUGCUCGGGUAAAUUAAAUUAAAAACUUAUGACAACAAAAUAUUAUACCCGCAAAACAGUUUAAAUCGAAAUUGGGUUUGCCGUAGUUCGCGGAUAGUGAAGAUUAAUAAAAGGGAAUCGACUUUCGCAUGCGACUUUUAUUUGGAUUUGUUUGGAUUUUUAUUUGAAUUCUAACCGAAUUCAAAUCAAUUCUUGCACGUAACUAUAGAGCCCGAGGGAGUUGCGGAUCCAAGCGAAGGCCAAGACCCGCAAGACUUUGAGCAAGGCAAGUCAUCACUAUUCCUUGAACAUGUUGAUCCCAAUUGCGAAAUUAUUUUGUUUAUAAAUAAAAUUGCAUGCAAUGAUGAAUAUCCUACUUGGGAUUAUGCCAUGCCUUGAUUAUUGUUUACCCUUAAAUCUUUGUAACCAUGUCUACGUAUGAGUCCCUAGUCAAUUAUGACAAUUGCUUAGAAAUGCUAUUCUAGAAUCAUGCAUACUCAUAUUUAUCAAAUGCUAUAUGCUUGGGCAAUUACCUUUGGGAAGGUAAUUGAGAUGCGGCAUGUGGAGACAUGAGCACCACAUUGCCAUGAUGUUGAUGACAUGAUUUGUGAAAGGAGAAAUAAAAUUAAACAAAUGUUUUCGACUGGGGCGGCUGGAGGACUUGGGUGGUGUCCGGUAAAGGCUAGUGCCGUCCCUGGUCAGUUAAGGACCGAGCCAUGAAGUUAAACAUGAAACGACCUCAGUACAGCCGUACUUCUCGAAUGGGUAUAGACCUAGCGGAGUAGAUAGCCGAGCGGAGGCAGUAUCCCUGCAUAGUGGUUUCACUUAGGUGUGUGGACGAACAAGCAGUCUACUGGCGGAUACCCGAUACGGAUGGCCAAAUGGCGGAUACCCGAUACGGAUGGCUAGAGACUGACUUGGCAAGACUACAAGACUACAAGGAGAUACCCAAAAGGGGACAGCAUGGAUUGGGUUCAACUACAGAAUGCGAUGUUAGGCGUGCGUGAGUUUUCCCCCUCGGGAGCGCCAGAACUCCUCUCACUGCUAAAAACCGUGUACGCCUAGAGUGCAUGAGGGCUUAAGUUCAUGGAGCGGAUACUGCCAAAGUGAGGUUAUUGAAAGGCUUUGCCGUGGCAAGUCUCAUUCGUUGGGACGUAGGCUCAUGUGUUGGGCAAGUUGCGGAGUACGGGUAAAGUGUACAUCCACUGCAGUGUGAGUAAACCAAAUCUAUUCGAAUAGCCGUGCUCGCGGUUAUUGAGCACCGGGACAUGUAUUACACUUGGCUAGACUCUAAAUUCUUAACUUGUGUGGGAUGGGAUAUUGCAUGAUGAUUUUUUUUUAUGCUGAUGGAGCCACUUCCUGAGAAGCGGGAAGGUGGACGUCCUCAGAAAACCAUGACGAAUCAAUGGCGGGAAGCUAUCCUUGGGAUCACAAUGGAUGGUGGACAGAACCGUCGUUGUUUAAAUACAAACUCUGGUACUAAAAUUUGAUCAGUCAAUGCUAGGUCUUAGGCUCGUAAAAAGAAUUACAAAACUUGCUUUGCGCAAAAGAACUAUGGCCAUCCUUUGAACUCCCCCUUUCAUAUGCAUUGUUGCUGUGGUGGCUUGCUGAGUACGGUUGGUACUCAUCCUUGCAAAUAUAAAAUUUAUCAGAAGCGGGAGAUGAAGCCUCGGAGGAUCCCUAUGCCUACUAUCAGGAGGGAGAUGAAGACGAUGGCGUCCAGUAGGUCUUAGUACGGUCGUUGCCUGUGGCAAUGGCAUGCCGCUGCCUGAAUUCCGCUGCCUUAUCUAUUUCUGCUUUUGGAUGUAUUCCGGACCUCUCGGUCCGAUGAUUUAAGACUAUGCCUGCGGGCCUAUGAUGUAAUAAUUCGUAUCAGACACUCGUGUAUGUGCACUUGAUAUUUCAGCUAUGAAUUCGUGUGUACCAAACUACUUGAUCCAGGGAAAUGGUACUGUUUACACGAUUGAUUCCUGUUAUAAAAACGGGGGUCCACAGAGCUGGUAUCAGAGCCAUACGACUGUAGGAAAAGACCAAAAGGCGCCCCACCCCUUUUCUAAGUUGGCCAAGGGAGAAAUUCCCAUUUAGUAAUACUUUCAAAAAUAAAAACGCUAUGUUUACAAAACUCGGCACAAUUUUUAUCUUACUCUUAACUAUUUUCUUUACAAAACAAGUUUUACUCUCAACUGACUUUGGGUUUUCCUUAAAAUUAGAUGGCAGAUUCGGAUUCACCCGCUACCUGGGAGUUGAGCUUACCCCAAUCGGAGGGUUAUGUUAUUGAGCUGCAUCGGAUGUUGAGGCGUCUGCGAUACCCUGGUUUUCCGUCAUACCGAGUGAGGCAGUGUGGCCCAGUUUGGGAGGCUCGGGUCGAGAUUCACCCCCGAGUCCCUUCCGAGUUAGACUACAGCUUCCAGACACGUCACCACCGAGACCUGCCAGAGACAGCGAUGCAGGAUGCCGCCCGGGAGGCCUUCCUCCGACUCAGCUCUAUCCACCGAGCUGAGUUAGUGAGUACCGAGUUUGCUCAUCACCCGUUCCGGGAGGAGGGCAACUCAGUUUGCACAGUUCAGGACACGCCCUGCUGCUACAACCCGAUGGUGACUCGGUUGUCACGAUGGGCUGAGGCAGUAGAUGACUUCUACGAGGAGGCUCUGUUGGAGAUUGACGACCACCAGAGACGUAUGGAGGAGUUAGAGACUGAGGUGACCGACCUCACAGCACAGCAGCUUCAGUUGGAGGAGGAGCACCAGGCUUGGGGCAGUGAGAUAGACUCACUGAAGGCACAGCUCCAGGUCCACGGCGACCAGUUCCAGCAGUUAUCUGACCAGUACAACGAUCGCCGCGGGAUGAUGGAUACUCUUGAGGAGCAGCUGAGAGAGAGUCAGGAGCACGUCAGCCAGCUGGAGGAGCAGCUUCGAGCAGCCAAGAUCAGCACCACAGGGGCCUCUACUUCCACAGCAGUAGGCCGUGACCGCUACUUCUUCCUCACCCCGCCGUACCCACCGGCGUUCCACGCUCUUCUGGGAGAGGCUAGUAUGCUAGCUACCGAGUCAGCGCCCUACCUAGUGGACCCUACAGCAGCACAGCCACCUGUUCCGGAGUUGGUGCACACUCCACUGAUCCCUACACCUUCUCCGCAGCUGGGUUCCGGUUUGGAGACUCCGAUCCAGAUCGACUCCGAGACGGAGGGGACCGACACCGAGCCGGAGAUCGAGCCAGACAUCACUGAUCCUUCAGAGGAUGAGGCUCCUGCUCCCCGCAUCACCUUCCUUGGAGGACCUCGCACCCUCAGCACUGCUCGCAAGAGCACACGACCCCCGGGCAAUGUCGCGACCGGGAAAAUUGCCUUUUCCCGAACGCUAGUGUAUUAAUCCCCGUCCCAGGAAAAGCCGGGGUACACCACACAAACAUGAUAUAAAAGACACAUCUUUAUUAUAUCGAUAAUAUUUACAUUAUUACAAAGGCACUUAAGGCCUGACAAUCAAAAAUAAACGGCAGCGGACUAGCGGGCCUACGGCUCCAUCUUCACAGGCGCUCAACUGGGGUAUAAGCCAGGACUCCACCUAAGACAUCUUCUCCAAAGCUUCUCUUACUGAAGGGGGAAAAGAUUGAGCAAGAAUGAGUACAACCACAGUAUUCAGCAAGCCACACCGGCAGAUGCAUGAUUAAUGCAAGGGGGUACAAGGGGAUAAUAGUAGGGGUUAGGUUUUGCAGUAAACAGCAUUUAAAAGUCACUUAGUUGCCCAAAGCCAUUUUGUAAAGACGAUCCUAGAGCUACACAGUAUUAUUAAACAAGGCCGUGAACCCUCACGAACCUGCCUUAACCCAAGGCCUACGAUGAUUUGGACCGAACUGGCAACCCGACCUGGGUUCCAGCUCGUCCCAAGCCAACCCAGGCCAACCAUUCCAUAUUUUAGUUGUGGAGCAAAUUUUAAGAAUUAAAACACUAACUUGGGUACAUUGCUAGGCUUGCCCAUAUCCGAGGGCUCGGCUAUUCGAAUAGAUUUACUCUGAUCAGAGGUGUACAUCUUUACCCACAAGACACAUCUUUACUCCGCAUUCCAUGGCCUUGGAACCCGUCGUAAAGAUGUGACAUAGUUUCCAACCCAUCCUAGCCUUAGACAAGAGUACCGACCCAAUCCUACCUACGGCCGGGAUACCCGGGACAGGCAGGCAGAACUGAGCCCCUAGCAUUGGGCACCAACCCUCCGCCGUACGACAUCUCGACUACCGGGCCGCAGCUCGUGUAGCCUUCAUUUGCCCUGGAGAAUGUCCAUCGACGCCCGACUUCAUCCAUCUCCAAUCCGUGUACUUUUGUUUAUGACUAGACUGAGCCACAAACUAAGCCUUACCCAUUAGACAUGUGGAAGUACGGUAGUGCUUUGCAACAGAGGCCCGAGCUUUAGUCCUUAUAGUGGCCGGGGUGCUACUUCCCAUAACUGGCAUGCACCCAAACCCCACCGAAAACAGGUUUUAGGGGUUUUGAAAGAGGAAGAGAGGUGUUUGUCCAAUUCCAACAUAAGCCAACCAUUCCAAAGUGUCCAAAUGAUAUGAGAAUUCCCAAAGUCUAAAGUUAUAAAACCACCUAAUGUUGCCUAAUUAAUCAGCGAAGCAUCUACCUAAAUUCAUACUAGUGGAACCAUGAAUAGAGUACCCACUAGUUGAGGUUUUGUUUAAUCUAGGGUGAACAAGGUAAUAAUAAUAACAAUAACAAUAAUAAUAUGGUCAUAACAAAGGUAAAUAAGCAUGGCUAAAUAAAACAGUGGUAACGCGGGAAUUUAAAUAAAGCGAUAAUGCAAUAAUUUAAAUCAACAUAAUUUUAUAAAAUGGGAUUCAAUAUGCUCAAGGAUGAUGUGACUUGCCUUGCUCAGAAAGAACGGCCUUCCGAACCUUUGGCGACGACCACGAACCACGCUUCGGGAACCUCCGGAACGACGAAAGCUACGCGAAGCACACAAGCAAAGCUACAAGCCUAUAAAGAAGCAAUAACAAUACAUAAAAACAAAGCACAGGGUUCUUUAGGUUAUAACAAACAUUAGGAGACUUGAACGGGUCGAUUCAGAGUUCGUAUGACCGAGAUAUGAUCAUCCGAAGUUUAAUGCUGUUAUAUGGAGAUUUGCGGAUUAUUAUAAUUAAGCUUUGCAAUUAUAAAACAUGUGUAAGCGCUGGCCUGGAAAAGACAGGAAGGCUGCGCCGUUGACAUGCGGACCCCACAUGUCAACCUAAAGGACCGCGGUAGACCGAGUACACAGAGGCGGUCCACGGUCGACGGAAGCGGAUCCCGUGUGUCAACCGAGGCGAGUGGCCGACAAACGGACUCCACUAGACACCACACGGUCACUACCCGCACACGUGAACGACCACCGACACCGGUACACGGGUACCGGGGCCGACAACCGCACAACGGGCACGGGCGACACCGAAAGGACGAGGACAGGGCAGCGAGGGAGAGGGAACCUUACCACCACGCGACGAGGCGUGGGAACGACAACGACGAACGGGCGCGGCGGAGACAGACGGGCACAACGGAGACGAACGGCGAGGGGACGGCUUCGGCGGCGAUCCUUGGACGAAGGCGAGACGCGGCCGGCACGAGGCUUGACGACGCGGAGCCGAGGACAAAGACGAGGACGGGGCUGCAGCGGCUCGCUUGACGAACGCGGACGACGGACGAGAACGGCUCGACGGAGGGACGAACGCCACGACGACCGGAAACGACGAGAGGACGACGACGGCGACGACCGGGGCCGGCGAGGAGGCGACGAGGACAGCCGGCAGCGGCUGCACGGGGACGAGGAUGACGUGGAACACGCCGCUGCGAUGACGAUGACGGAGGCGGCGCCGCGAGACGACGAGCCGGGCGAGAGGGAACGGUGAAGACGACGACGGGCACCGGCGGUGUUCGGUCGGAGGGGAGGCGAGGCCGAGGACGACGUCGCAGCUGCGAUGCCGAAGAUGAUGGGGGUGUGGCCGACCGGUGCACGGCGAGGAGGGACGGGCGGCCGAACAACUCCGGCGAGGCGGACGGAGAGGUUCGCGGCGACGUUCCGGCGAAACCGAGGGCAGGCCGGGGUGGAGGGCGAUGCGGCGUCGCCGAGGGAGGAGACGGCGACGUCGGCCGACGCUCUGGCGCGGCGACCGGGGCAGCCGGAGGAGAUGUCGACGAGGAGGAAGGUGAGGCCGGCGCGGGCGACGGUGUUCCGGCGAUGUUCGGGCGAGGAGGAGGUGAUGCCGGGGAUGAGAGCGGCGUCGUGGAGCCGAGGAAGGUGGUGGCGACGUCGGCCGGCGCUCCGGGGACGCGGCAGAGGCGGCCGGAGGCGAAAUCGUGGCGGCAACACCACUGGACGCCGGCGAGGACGCGUCUCCGGUGCUUUACCCGCGAAACGGAGGGCUGACCGAGGGAGAGGGGGCAGCUGCGAGGCCGAGGGAGAAGACGGCGCGGCCGGGCGGCGCUCGGGCGAGGAGAGGAAGGCGGCUGGAGGUGGCCGGCGCGAAGGAAGGAGGAGGGCGACGGCGGGAACGUAGUUCCGGGGGUCUCCUCGCGAAACGGAGGGCAGGCCGGCGUGGAGGAGGUGGCGGCGACGCUGGAGGAGGCGAUGGCGCGGCCGGCCGGCGCACGGGCGAGGCGGCACAGGCGGCUGGAGGUCGCCGGCGGUGUGGGAGAGAGAGGGCGACGGCGGGGAUGGGGCUAGAGACCACGGGGAGGCUCGGGAUGGGGUUAAAACGAGAGAACGCACGGAGGGGGUUGCAUUUUAUAGGAUGGGGGAGGGAGCCGGGCACGGGAGAGGGCGGAACGGCGACGGGAAUGGCGGCCGGCGGCAAUGGAGGGCGGCCGAGGAAGACGCGGGCGUUCCCGGCGAUUGGGGGCGCCAUUCAAGGGGGAAAUUAGGGGGAAUUGAAGAGGAGUCAAUGGGGAUUAAAACCCCCCAAUUAAUUUCGGAAUCCAUGGUUUGAUUUGCGCGGAUUUGGAGGAGGAAUUCGCACGGGAGGGAGAGAAGGCCGUGCGGGAGGAGGAAGAAGGCGACGGCGCCCUGGCGCGUGGGCCCCACCGGUCAGGCGGCGGCGUCAGCGCGCGCACGCGCGCGGCACGUGCGGGAGGGGAGCGGCUCGGGGGCUGGGGCGGCUUGGGCCGAGCGGCCGGCCCAAGAGGAGAGGAGGGGAGGCGGCAUGGGCCGAGCAGGCCGGGAGGGAAGAGGGGGGGGGAAAAGGCAGCCCGAGAGAGAGAGGGAGGAGGGAGUGGGCCGAGAGGGGGAGAGGCCCAAGAGGAGGAGGGAGAGAAGGAGAGGGAGAGAAAGAGAGGGAGGACUUUGGGCCAAAUUUGGCCCAAAAGAAAGAAGAGGAUUAUUUUUAGAUUUUUCUUUUUAAUAAACUUUGACAAUUGUUGUUGUUGUUUAAUAAAUAUUUCCGGUGCUCUGAAAAUUCAAGUAAAAUUUGAGGGCUCAUUUUAGACCAAGGAGAAUUUAACAAAAAUUCUCCGGGCCACAUUCGAAUUUUUCUUGCACGUAUUUUAGUGUUUGCCGAUUUCUUUUCGAAUUUUAAUUAAUUCUAUUAUUCCUUUUAGCGAAUGAAUUUUUAAUUUUGGGAUGAAUUUAUCAGGACGUGACAAAUCCACCCUCCUUACAAGAAUCUCGUCCCCGAGAUUCGAGGAGGCUAGCAAGAAGAUAGGUUGGGCGGUCUUCUCUUAUUGUCUGACUUCUUCCGCUCCGUCUUCUAUAACAAACUUGCCUAACAAAACUUCUUCACUCUGGACUGCUUGGCUCGAUCUCCUGUUGCAGAUGGAAUCUUCUCUUCACCUGACUUGUCCCUGGUUGAACCUUUAGCUGACUUCGACUGGGUUGCGGCACUUGAAGAUGGGGCUUCAGUUCCAGAACUUUGCAUAGUUCAUAUCUUUGGAGUCAACCUCAUACAAGUUACCCACUUCAUGUCAUGCGUCGAGAUCAGCUCGUCAUUACUAAGAUACCAUGCUUGUCAUCAUUUAGCAUUCAAAGUAUUCCUUUACACAUUCAGCCCUGACGUAUUCUUUUUAGAUUUCUCUUAUCAAUCACCUUUCGACCUACUUCUUUGCCUGGUAAUAAACAUCUUUUUCGAUAUCUUCUAUCAGUCAUCUUUUGACCUCUGGAGAAACUUCUCUUGUUUGUCUUCAUCCGUUUCCACAUCUUCUGGUGCAUAGUGAGCCAAACGAUAGAACUCGUGCCGGUACUCUGUGACGGUCAAAUCUCCUUGCUUCAGGUAGCGAAACUCUCGUUUUCUUAGUGUGAUCAUUCCUGCGGGAACAUGUGAUCUCCUGAAUACAGAGGAAAACUCGUUCCAGGUGAUGGUAUGUCCUUCUGGCCGUGAUGCCUCGUAGCUAUCCCACCACUCUGAAGCCGGUCCAACCAACUGAUGAGUUGCGAAGCCAACCCGCUCCUGGUCGGUGCACUGAAUCACCCCUAGCUUCUUCUCGACUGUGCGCAACCAAUCAUUGGCUUCCAUAGGAUCGACGGCCAUGGCAAAGGUUGGAGGCCCCGUUUUGAGAAAUUCUGAUAACUUGCACUGUUGCUGGACUGUAGGUACUUGAACGUUGGUUGCCCCUGCUGGGUUGUUCCGAUUCUGUAAUAGUUGAAAGGCGGUUGCCAACAUGUUGGUUUGGUUAACCACAACUUGGAUUAGCUCUGGUGAGGUUUCGUUGAUGCUUCUCUCAUUCCCAUUGGCUUGGGUUCUUGAGUCAUCGGAUCCAUCAUUCCCAUAGCCUUUGUUACCAAUGUUAUCCAUCUGUCACAAGGUAGAGGUUGAGAGGGGAAGCAUACAAGGAAAGAAUAGACCAGAGCUAGGGACAGGACCUUAAAGGAACUAACUCUUUUUGUUGAUGUGUUGUUUGUUUCAUUUAUUCUGCAAGUUGAUUAAGCAAACAACCUAGCAUGGUUACAUCACCACCCACCGAUGCAAACCACGCGCUACACACACAAGCAAGGAAACACACGACAAACGAAACACUAGAGGGUGGCUUAGGUUCUGCGACGGGUUCUCCAAGAUCUUCACUCCUGCUUCACAGCUGGCUUCACUGCUUCCUUCGCUUCGCUGGCGGAUCCUGCAGUCUUCCGGAGCUUCGGCAAACAACUGACGACAUCUUCUUCUUCGCAAAGCUGACCAUCUAGUACUUAGUUGAAAUCCGAAGAAAGAAAAGAGUAAACCUUUUGCAAAUAGCAUUAGGGGAAGGAGAAAAAGAGGAACUUUCGCAAAUAAUUUUAUUUAUAAAAUAUGUCCUUAGGUUUUAUCCAUUUGGCUUAUCCUACAGUCGAGAUGGCUCUGAUACCAGCUUGUCGCGACCGGGAAAAUUGCCUUUUCCCGAACGCUAGUGUAUUAAUCCCCGUCCCAGGAAAAGCCGGGGUACACCACACAAACAUGAUAUAAAAGACACAUCUUUAUUAUAUCGAUAAUAUUUACAUUAUUACAAAGGCACUUAAGGCCUGACAAUCAAAAAUAAACGGCAGCGGACUAGCGGGCCUACGGCUCCAUCUUCACAGGCGCUCAACUGGGGUAUAAGCCAGGACUCCACCUAAGACAUCUUCUCCAAAGCUUCUCUUACUGAAGGGGGAAAAGAUUGAGCAAGAAUGAGUACAACCACAGUACUCAGCAAGCCACACCGGCAGAUGCAUGAUUAAUGCAAGGGGGUACAAGGGGAUAAUAGUAGGGGUUAGGUUUUGCAGUAAACAGCAUUUAAAAGUCACUUAGUUGCCCAAAGCCAUUUUGUAAAGACGAUCCUAGAGCUACACAGUAUUAUUAAACAAGGCCGUGAACCCUCACGAACCUGCCUUAACCCAAGGCCUACGAUGAUUUGGACCGAACUGGCAACCCGACCUGGGUUCCAGCUCGUCCCAAGCCAACCCAGGCCAACCAUUCCAUAUUUUAGUUGUGGAGCAAAUUUUAAGAAUUAAAACACUGACUUGGGUACAUUGCUAGGCUUGCCCAUAUCCGAGGGCUCGGCUAUUCGAAUAGAUUUACUCUGAUCAGAGGUGUACAUCUUUACCCACAAGACACAUCUUUACUCCGCAUUCCAUGGCCUUGGAACCCGUCGUAAAGAUGUGACAUAGUUUCCAACCCAUCCUAGCCUUAGACAAGAGUACCGACCCAAUCCUACCUACGGCCGGGAUACCCGGGACAGGCAGGCAGAACUGAGCCCCUAGCAUUGGGCACCAACCCUCCGCCGUACGACAUCUCGACUACCGGGCCGCAGCUCGUGUAGCCUUCAUUUGCCCUGGAGAAUGUCCAUCGACGCCCGACUUCAUCCAUCUCCAAUCCGUGUACUUUUGUUUAUGACUAGACUGAGCCACAAACUAAGCCUUACCCAUUAGACAUGUGGAAGUACGGUAGUGCUUUGCAACAGAGGCCCGAGCUUUAGUCCUUAUAGUGGCCGGGGUGCUACUUCCCACAACUGGCAUGCACCCAAACCCCACCGAAAACAGGUUUUAGGGGUUUUGAAAGAGGAAGAGAGGUGUUUGUCCAAUUCCAACAUAAGCCAACCAUUCCAAAGUGUCCAAAUGAUAUGAGAAUUCCCAAAGUCUAAAGUUAUAAAACCACCUAAUGUUGCCUAAUUAAUCAGCGAAGCAUCUACCUAAAUUCAUACUAGUGGAACCAUGAAUAGAGUACCCACUAGUUGAGGUUUUGUUUAAUCUAGGGUGAACAAGGUAAUAAUAAUAACAAUAACAAUAAUAAUAUGGUCAUAACAAAGGUAAAUAAGCAUGGCUAAAUAAAACAGUGGUAACGCGGGAAUUUAAAUAAAGCGAUAAUGCAAUAAUUUAAAUCAACAUAAUUUUAUAAAAUGGGAUUCAAUAUGCUCAAGGAUGAUGUGACUUGCCUUGCUCAGAAAGAACGGCCUUCCGAACCUUUGGCGACGACCACGAACCACGCUUCGGGAACCUCCGGAACGACGAAAGCUACGCGAAGCACACAAGCAAAGCUACAAGCCUAUAAAGAAGCAAUAACAAUACAUAAAAACAAAGCACAGGGUUCUUUAGGUUAUAACAAACAUUAGGAGACUUGAACGGGUCGAUUCAGAGUUCGUAUGACCGAGAUAUGAUCAUCCGAAGUUUAAUGCUGUUAUAUGGAGAUUUGCGGAUUAUUAUAAUUAAGCUUUGCAAUUAUAAAACAUGUGUAAGCGCUGGCCUGGAAAAGACAGGAAGGCUGCGCCGUUGACAUGCGGACCCCACAUGUCAACCUAAAGGACCGCGGUAGACCGAGUACACAGAGGCGGUCCACGGUCGACGGAAGCGGAUCCCGUGUGUCAACCGAGGCGAGUGGCCGACAAACGGACUCCACUAGACACCACACGGUCACUACCCGCACACGUGAACGACCACCGACACCGGUACACGGGUACCGGGGCCGACAACCGCACAACGGGCACGGGCGACACCGAAAGGACGAGGACAGGGCAGCGAGGGAGAGGGAACCUUACCACCACGCGACGAGGCGUGGGAACGACAACGACGAACGGGCGCGGCGGAGACAGACGGGCACAACGGAGACGAACGGCGAGGGGACGGCUUCGGCGGCGAUCCUUGGACGAAGGCGAGACGCGGCCGGCACGAGGCUUGACGACGCGGAGCCGAGGACAAAGACGAGGACGGGGCUGCAGCGGCUCGCUUGACGAACGCGGACGACGGACGAGAACGGCUCGACGGAGGGACGAACGCCACGACGACCGGAAACGACGAGAGGACGACGACGGCGACGACCGGGGCCGGCGAGGAGGCGACGAGGACAGCCGGCAGCGGCUGCACGGGGACGAGGAUGACGUGGAACACGCCGCUGCGAUGACGAUGACGGAGGCGGCGCCGCGAGACGACGAGCCGGGCGAGAGGGAACGGUGAAGACGACGACGGGCACCGGCGGUGUUCGGUCGGAGGGGAGGCGAGGCCGAGGACGACGUCGCAGCUGCGAUGCCGAAGAUGAUGGGGGUGUGGCCGACCGGUGCACGGCGAGGAGGGACGGGCGGCCGAACAACUCCGGCGAGGCGGACGGAGAGGUUCGCGGCGACGUUCCGGCGAAACCGAGGGCAGGCCGGGGUGGAGGGCGAUGCGGCGUCGCCGAGGGAGGAGACGGCGACGUCGGCCGACGCUCUGGCGCGGCGACCGGGGCAGCCGGAGGAGAUGUCGACGAGGAGGAAGGUGAGGCCGGCGCGGGCGACGGUGUUCCGGCGAUGUUCGGGCGAGGAGGAGGUGAUGCCGGGGAUGAGAGCGGCGUCGUGGAGCCGAGGAAGGUGGUGGCGACGUCGGCCGGCGCUCCGGGGACGCGGCAGAGGCGGCCGGAGGCGAAAUCGUGGCGGCAACACCACUGGACGCCGGCGAGGACGCGUCUCCGGUGCUUUACCCGCGAAACGGAGGGCUGACCGAGGGAGAGGGGGCAGCUGCGAGGCCGAGGGAGAAGACGGCGCGGCCGGGCGGCGCUCGGGCGAGGAGAGGAAGGCGGCUGGAGGUGGCCGGCGCGAAGGAAGGAGGAGGGCGACGGCGGGAACGUAGUUCCGGGGGUCUCCUCGCGAAACGGAGGGCAGGCCGGCGUGGAGGAGGUGGCGGCGACGCUGGAGGAGGCGAUGGCGCGGCCGGCCGGCGCACGGGCGAGGCGGCACAGGCGGCUGGAGGUCGCCGGCGGUGUGGGAGAGAGAGGGCGACGGCGGGGAUGGGGCUAGAGACCACGGGGAGGCUCGGGAUGGGGUUAAAACGAGAGAACGCACGGAGGGGGUUGCAUUUUAUAGGAUGGGGGAGGGAGCCGGGCACGGGAGAGGGCGGAACGGCGACGGGAAUGGCGGCCGGCGGCAAUGGAGGGCGGCCGAGGAAGACGCGGGCGUUCCCGGCGAUUGGGGGCGCCAUUCAAGGGGGAAAUUAGGGGGAAUUGAAGAGGAGUCAAUGGGGAUUAAAACCCCCCAAUUAAUUUCGGAAUCCAUGGUUUGAUUUGCGCGGAUUUGGAGGAGGAAUUCGCACGGGAGGGAGAGAAGGCCGUGCGGGAGGAGGAAGAAGGCGACGGCGCCCUGGCGCGUGGGCCCCACCGGUCAGGCGGCGGCGUCAGCGCGCGCACGCGCGCGGCACGUGCGGGAGGGGAGCGGCUCGGGGGCUGGGGCGGCUUGGGCCGAGCGGCCGGCCCAAGAGGAGAGGAGGGGAGGCGGCAUGGGCCGAGCAGGCCGGGAGGGAAGAGGGGGGGGGAAAAGGCAGCCCGAGAGAGAGAGGGAGGAGGGAGUGGGCCGAGAGGGGGAGAGGCCCAAGAGGAGGAGGGAGAGAAGGAGAGGGAGAGAAAGAGAGGGAGGACUUUGGGCCAAAUUUGGCCCAAAAGAAAGAAGAGGAUUAUUUUUAGAUUUUUCUUUUUAAUAAACUUUGACAAUUGUUGUUGUUGUUUAAUAAAUAUUUCCGGUGCUCUGAAAAUUCAAGUAAAAUUUGAGGGCUCAUUUUAGACCAAGGAGAAUUUAACAAAAAUUCUCCGGGCCACAUUCGAAUUUUUCUUGCACGUAUUUUAGUGUUUGCCGAUUUCUUUUCGAAUUUUAAUUAAUUCUAUUAUUCCUUUUAGCGAAUGAAUUUUUAAUUUUGGGAUGAAUUUAUCAGGACGUGACAGGCAAGAGGCCUAAGCCAGAUCCAGAGGCCACUACCUCUGAGCCGUGGGGACUCCGGUUUGCGCGAGCCAGCGACUACCCUCUACCUGCCCCGGGAUCCUGCGGAUGGCUGGAGGAUUAGACUGACGGACUCCUUGCAGCUUCGAUCUCGUAUCAGAUGGUUUUUGGAUAGUAUGCGAGACACCCCCUUCCCUUACCUAGAUUGACGAGUAGUUUGAUGAUUGGUUUGAUGUAUCGUUUGGAUGAACCUUAUUUGGACUGCGUAUGUAUGCAGUCAAUUGCAUCAUGAUUUAUGUACCAUUUGUGAAACUCUGUGAUGUUAUCUAUGAUAUCUAUUGUUGUUGUGUUGUAAAUGAGUUUAUUCCACCAUGCUUGCGAAACAAAGUCAUAUCGACACAACUCCCUUAAUGGGAUAAAGCCAUAGGAGCUAGUUAGAAAAUUAGGAUGCUUACUCCAUCAACCUACACAGAUGGCAAGCCGACGUCGGGCAACAACCAGCAAUGACGAAACUCAGACACCCGACUUAAACACUCUGGCCGGAAUUAUGGCCACCCAAACUCAACUUCUGCAAGCUAUCGCGAGCAACCAAGGCAACCGCGGAGGGUCAAGCUUUGGAGAGUUUAUGAGGACCAAGCCGCCCACGUUCGCUACGGCCGAUGAGCCCAUGGAAGCAGAAGACUGGCUACGCAUCAUAGAAAAGAAACUGACUCUAGUCAGGGUACGCGAAGCCGACAAGGUGAUCUUCGCAGUGAACCAGCUGGAAGGACCCGCUGGUGAUUGGUGGGAUACCUACAAGGAGGCCCGAGAAGACGGUGCUGGAGAACCCACCUGGGAGGAGUUCACUGCAGCGUUUCGCGAGAAUUUCGUACCUACUGCAGUGAUGCGCAUGAAGAAGAACGAGUUUAGAAGACUGCGGCAAGGGAAUACAACGGUGCAGGAGUAUCUAAACAAGUUCACUCAGUUGGCUCGCUACGCAAUUGGAGACCUGGCGGAUGAAGAAGAAAAGAUCGACAAGUUCAUAGAAGGGCUGAAUGAUGAAUUGCGUGGACCUAUGAUCGGGCAGGAUCACGAGAGUUUCCAGAGCCUGAUCAACAAGGUCGUCAGGCUAGAGAACGAUCAAAGGACGGUGGAACACAACCGCAAGAGGAGGCUUGCUAUGAGUCGCCCACCUCAGACAAUGCCUCAGCGACUUAAGGGAGCCACUCCGUCCGGAUGGAAGCCCCCUGUCAUGGUGACCAACCGUCCCGCUGCACUUAGCAACUUCAACAGGCCAGUUGCACUUCAGAACCGCACCCCUACACCAACUUUGGCUGCCCCUGGGGCCAAGAAGAAUGUGGACUGCUUCAACUGUGGGAAAUACGGGCACUACGCUAACAACUGCCCUCAUCCACGCAAAACCCCUGUCCGAACUGGCGCGAACGCAAUGACUGUUCGCGGCACUACUACCCCUGCUGUCGGGCGAGGCCUAUUCAAGACUCCGCAACCGAACAGGACCACCACUGGAUUUGGGCGCGGGCAAGUGAACCAUGUUCGAGCUGAAGAGGCCCAGGAAGAUCAAGGCGUACUGAUGGGUAUGUUUUCACUCAACUCCACUCCAAUUAAAGUUCUCUUCGAUUCAGGAGCAUUGCAUUCAUUUAUAUCUUUGAAAGCAAGUCAACAACACAAUUUAACCAGAGUUAAAUUAAGACAACCAAUGUUAGUACAUUCGCCUGGGGGUGAGAUAGCAGUGGAUACAGCUUGCAUUGACGUACCCAUCCGCCUUAGGGAUGUGGUAUUUCCCUCCAAUCUUAUGGUGCUAAUACCCCAAACUCUUGAUGUCAUUUUGGGUAUGGAUUGGUUAGCAAAGCAUAGAGGAGUAAUUGACUGUAGACGUAGAGAAGUUACCCUGACCACACCCUGGGGAUCGGAUAUGAGAGCAACCAUGGAUCAAGAUCCUAGGCUAACCGAACGUGCCGGAGGUAUAUUUACCAUGCUACCCCUAAAGGGAAUGCCAGUAGUGCAGCGAUUUCCUGAUGUGUUCCCAGAAGAUUUACCUGGAAUGCCACCAGAUCGUGACAUAGAGUUCAUUAUUGACCUGAUACCCGGAACUGCCCCCAUAUCCAAGAGACCAUAUCGGAUGCCGGUCAAUGAGUUAGAAGAACUUAAAAAGCAAAUUAGGGAGUUGCAAGAGAAGGGAUUUGUACGCCCCAGUUCGUCACCUUGGGGAGCCCCAGUGUUAUUUGUUAAAAAGAAAGACGGUAGCAUGAGAAUGUGUGUAGACUACCGAUCACUGAACGAAGUGACUAUCAAAAAUAAGUAUCCCCUACCACGGAUUGAUGACCUCUUCGACCAACUUAAGGGAGCUAAGGUGUUUUCAAAGAUAGACCUUCGAUCAGGAUACCACCAACUGAAGAUUAGGACCGAGGAUAUCCCCAAAACCGCGUUUUCAACACGCUAUGGGUUGUAUGAAUUCACAGUAAUGUCGUUUGGUCUAACCAAUGCCCCAGCAUACUUCAUGAAUCUUAUGAACAAAGUAUUCAUGGAUUACUUGGAUAAGUUUGUGGUGGUAUUCAUUGAUGACAUUCUAAUCUACUCCAAAGAUGAGGAAGAACAUGCGGAACACUUAAGAUUGGUUCUCCAGAAACUCCGAAAGCACAAGUUAUACGCAAAAUUCAGCAAGUGCGAAUUUUGGUUGAAGGAAGUCGCUUUUCUGGGUCACGUAAUCUCAGCCGGUGGAGUAGCAGUGGACCCUGCUAAAGUGGAGGCUGUCACGGAAUGGAAAGCACCCAAAUCGGUGACUGAAAUCCGGAGUUUUCUAGGCUUGGCUGGAUACUACCGAAGGUUCAUUGAAGGGUUCUCUAAGAUAGCCCGACCAAUGACACAAUUACUCAAGAAGGAAAAGAAGUUUGCAUGGUCGGAACAGUGUCAAGGAAGCUUUGAGCAGCUCAAAGAAAAGCUGACCUCAGCACCUAUUUUAGUUCUUCCCGACAUCAGGAAAGACUUUGUUGUAUAUUGUGAUGCGUCGAGGCAAGGACUAGGAGGUGUACUGAUGCAGGAGGGAAAAGUGGUGGCCUAUGCGUCGCGACAAUUGCGACCACAUGAGGAAAACUACCCUACCCAUGACCUAGAACUCGCAGCUGUGGUUCAUGCACUAAAGAUUUGGAGACAUUAUCUGAUUGGAAACCAUUGCGAUAUCUACACUGACCACAAGAGUCUAAAGUAUAUCUUCACCCAGUCAGAUCUCAACUUGAGGCAAAGGCGAUGGUUAGAAUUAAUCAAGGACUAUGAUUUAGAGGUUCAUUAUCACCCAGGCAAAGCAAACGUCGUAGCCGACGCUCUGAGUCGUAAGAGCCAUUGCAAUCAUCUGAGAACGGAAGGGAUGGUCCCUGAGCUUAGGGAGGAAAUGGCGCAGCUGAACCUACAUAUAGUACCCCAUGGACAGAUAAACACCCUGGAUAUUCAACCUCUUUUGAGAACCCAAAUAGAAGAAGCCCAGAAGGACAAUGAGGAAGUCCGAGAGGUGAAGGAACGCUUAGCUGCCGGACGUGCAAAGGAAUUUUCAACCGACGAAAAAGAUGUUCUAUGGUAUAAAAAGAGAAUUUACGUACCCGAACAGGGUGGACUGAGGGGAUUAAUUUUAAAGGAAGCUCACGAAUCGGCAUAUUCAUUGCACCCCGGAAGUACGAAGAUGUACCAAGAUCUGAAGGAAGGAUACUGGUGGCCCAACAUGAAGAGAGAUGUGGCCGAAUACGUAGCACUCUGCGACGUAUGCCAGAAGGUGAAGGCUGAACACCAGAGGCCGGCAGGUUUGUUGCAACCUCUCAGGAUUCCCGAAUGGAAAUGGGAUGAGAUAGGUAUGGAUUUCAUUGUUGGAUUGCCCAAGACCGCAACAGGAUAUGAUUCCAUUUGGGUAAUCGUGGAUCGACUCACCAAGACGGCGAGAUUCAUUCCCGUUAAGACAAAUUAUAGCAGUGCAAAACUCGCCGAGUUGUAUAUGACCAGGAUAGUGUGUCUUCAUGGUAUACCUAAGAAGAUUAUAUCUGAUCGAGGCACACAGUUUACCUCACAUUUCUGGGAGAAAGUCCAUGAAGCCCUGGGAAGUUACCUCGCAUUUAGCACCGCUUAUCAUCCACAGACAGAUGGCCAGACGGAGAGAACCAACCAGGUCCUGGAGGACAUGCUGAGGGCUUGUGCUCUGGAUUUUAGCAAGGACUGGGAGAGGUGUUUGCCCUACGCCGAAUUCUCUUACAACAACAGCUUUCAAGCAAGCCUAAAGAUGUCACCCAAUGAGGCAUUGUUUGGUCGACGAUGUCGUACCCCGCUAAUGUGGUCCGAGACUGGAGAACGGGCGGUAUUUGGACCUGACAUUAUUCAAGAAGCCGAAGAAAAGGUUCGCUUGAUCCGUGAUCGUCUAAAAGUAGCACAAUCACGACAAAAGAGUUACGCCGACACUCGAAGAAGAAACCUGGAAUUUAAGGAAGGAGAUUACGUUUAUCUAAAGGUUUCUCCGAUGAGGGGAACAAAAAGGUUUAAGGUUAAAGGAAAACUGGCACCAAGAUAUGUGGGGCCAUUCCAGAUCAUCGCCAGGCGAGGAGAAGUCGCAUAUCAGUUACAGCUACCAGAAUAUAUCGCCGAUGUGCACCCAGUCUUCCAUGUGUCCCAAUUAAAGAAAUGCUUACGAGUGCCGGAAGAACAAGCCCCGCUGGAAGAGAUUCACAUUAGCAAUGAUCUCACAUAUCCAGAACACCCGAUCCGGAUAUUGGAUGAAGCAGAAAAGAGGACUAGGAGCAAAGUGUGGCGUAUGUACAAGGUACAAUGGAGUAAUCACACUGAGGACGAAGCCACCUGGGAAGGCGAAGAAUUCUUGAGGACGGAGUACCCGCAUCUAUUCGGCAACUGGUAAGAAAAUCUCGGGACGAGAUUUAUUUAAGGGGGGUAGGUUUGUAACACCCUGAAAAUUCGACCAACGAAAUCAAAACUCUAAAAAUGCGGACUUUCAAAAACUUUUUAAACCAAUUGCAUCAUGCCGACUUUAUUCGCCUGUUUCAUUGGAUUUUGAUGUCGGAGUCUAAUUAAUCGCGAAUAAUGAAUAACUAGCUAGGAACAAACCAUAAAAUAAAAUCUAGUUGACUAAAUAAAUAAUUAAAAUAUAAAUUAAAAUAAAGGUUAGGUGGGAUUGAAAUAAAUAAAAUAAUAUCGCAACCAUAUUAGCAAUAAUUAAAUUUUAGUACGAUGGAAUAACCCUAAUUAAAAUAAAUUAUAUAAAAAUAAAAUAUGAGUAAUAUUAAUCUAGGGAGAAUUCAUUAGUUAAGAUUACAUGAAUAUUGAGUAAAAUGCAUAUAUGUAAAAUUAGGAAUCGUGGAAUCAAAUUUAUAUGGAAAAUACACUAAAACCGGGAUAAAUGGGAAAAGUCACUGUUCAUCGGCCGCCAAGUGUUCGACGUGGUUCCCCUAGCGCUAGCCCCUCCUCUGCCACGCCGCCUCGCGCACCGCGCGCCGCGCGCCGCUCCGCCUCCUCUCUGUCGCCGCCCGUCGCGUCGCCGCUGUCGCCGUCGCCGUCGACGUCCCAUCGCCGCCUCGCGCCCCGAGCCGCCGCGCCGUCACCAUCGUCGCCUGCCGCCGCGCAUCGUCGCCCACGCCUCGAGCCCGCGCGUCGCCCGUCGCCACCACCGUGCGCCAAGCCCCGCGCUACCUCGCGCCCCGAGCCGCCCGUCCCAUCGCCGCUCGCCCGUCGUCUCGCCCUGUCGCCGUCGCGCCGCGCUACCGUCGCGUCCCGCCCCGAGCCGCGCGCCACCGCUGUCGCCGCCGCCGUCAACGUCCCGUCGCCGCGCGUCCCAUCGCCACCUCGCGCCCCGCGCCGCCGCGCCGCUGUCGCGUCGCCCCUCCCCUUCCCUUUCUUUCCCCCUCCUCUCCCCUAUAAAACUCCACCCCUCCCCAUUUCUCCCCACUCCAUCUCCCCAUCCUCUCCCUCUUCCCCUUCUCCACGCGCCGCCGUUCUCGUGCCGUUGCGCCGCCACCUUCGAAGUCGCCGCGCCGCCGUUCCCGUGCCGCCGCGCUGUCAUUCCCGUGACGCCGCGCCGUCGUUCCCGCGCCGCCGUUCCCGUGCCGCCGUGUCGCCGCUCCCACGCCGUCGUGCGCCACCGUCGCCGCCGCCGUCGUCGCCGCUGCCGCCGCCGGUGAGCCGCCCUCUUUUCCCCUUGCGUCCACCGCCGCCGCUCGGGUGAGAGAGAGAGAGAGCCGAGAGAGAAAGGGAGAGGAAAAGAGAGGCCGGCAGAGAAAAGAAGAAGAGAGGAGAGAGAAAAAGAAAAAGAAGAGAAGAAAGUGAAAAGGAAAAGGGAAAAGAGAAAAGAAAAGAAAAAAGGAAAGGGAGAAAAAGGAAAAAGGAAAUAAAUAGAAAUUAGAGGGAGUUUGGGGAAGUUUAGGAAAUUUAAAAUAAUUAGAAUUUAAUUAUAGAUUAAUUAUAGUCGUAGAAUUGCAAAAAUGUAAUAUAAAUUACGGAUUAUUCUUGGUAAUCGAUUCGCGGUAGUAUUUUAGAUGAAAUUAAUAACUAAACAAAUAGACGAAUUCCUAUAGAUUAUUAUAGAGUAUUUUUGGGUAAACCCUAUAAGUAAUCGAUUCACGGUAGAAAUUCGGAUUCAAUCGAUAGGAAUUUUAGACGUAUAUUAUGUUUAAUCGUUUAGUCAUAGACUAAAUUAAAUGGUAUAAUAUUUUUAGGAUUCCGUCCGACAUUUAGCUCGCGAGAAGAAAUUUCUAAUCUAAUAUAUGGAUAUAAUGCUCGGGUAAAUUAAAUUAAAAACUUAUGACAACAAAAUAUUAUACCCGCAAAACAGUUUAAAUCGAAAUUGGGUUUGCCGUAGUUCGCGGAUAGUGAAGAUUAAUAAAAGGGAAUCGACUUUCGCAUGCGACUUUUAUUUGGAUUUGUUUGGAUUUUUAUUUGAAUUCUAACCGAAUUCAAAUCAAUUCUUGCACGUAACUAUAGAGCCCGAGGGAGUUGCGGAUCCAAGCGAAGGCCAAGACCCGCAAGACUUUGAGCAAGGCAAGUCAUCACUAUUCCUUGAACAUGUUGAUCCCAAUUGCGAAAUUAUUUUGUUUAUAAAUAAAAUUGCAUGCAAUGAUGAAUAUCCUACUUGGGAUUAUGCCAUGCCUUGAUUAUUGUUUACCCUUAAAUCUUUGUAACCAUGUCUACGUAUGAGUCCCUAGUCAAUUAUGACAAUUGCUUAGAAAUGCUAUUCUAGAAUCAUGCAUACUCAUAUUUAUCAAAUGCUAUAUGCUUGGGCAAUUACCUUUGGGAAGGUAAUUGAGAUGCGGCAUGUGGAGACAUGAGCACCACAUUGCCAUGAUGUUGAUGACAUGAUUUGUGAAAGGAGAAAUAAAAUUAAACAAAUGUUUUCGACUGGGGCGGCUGGAGGACUUGGGUGGUGUCCGGUAAAGGCUAGUGCCGUCCCUGGUCAGUUAAGGACCGAGCCAUAAAGUUAAACAUGAAACGACCUCAGUACAGCCGUACUUCUCGAAUGGGUAUAGACCUAGCGGAGUAGAUAGCCGAGCGGAGGCAGUAUCCCUGCAUAGUGGUUUCACUUAGGUGUGUGGACGAACAAGCAGUCUACUGGCGGAUACCCGAUACGGAUGGCCAAAUGGCGGAUACCCGAUACGGAUGGCUAGAGACUGACUUGGCAAGACUACAAGACUACAAGGAGAUACCCAAAAGGGGACAGCAUGGAUUGGGUUCAACUACAGAAUGCGAUGUUAGGCGUGCGUGAGUUUUCCCCCUCGGGAGCGCCAGAACUCCUCUCACUGCUAGAAACCGUGUACGCCUAGAGUGCAUGAGGGCUUAAGUUCAUGGAGCGGAUACUGCCAAAGUGAGGUUAUUGAAAGGCUUUGCCGUGGCAAGUCUCAUUCGUUGGGACGUAGGCUCAUGUGUUGGGCAAGUUGCGGAGUACGGGUAAAGUGUACAUCCACUGCAGUGUGAGUAAACCAAAUCUAUUCGAAUAGCCGUGCUCGCGGUUAUUGAGCACCGGGACAUGUAUUACACUUGGCUAGACUCUAAAUUCUUAACUUGUGUGGGAUGGGAUAUUGCAUGAUGAUUUUUUUUUAUGCUGAUGGAGCCACUUCCUGAGAAGCGGGAAGGUGGACGUCCUCAGAAAACCAUGACGAAUCAAUGGCGGGAAGCUAUCCUUGGGAUCACAAUGGAUGGUGGACAGAACCGUCGUUGUUUAAAUACAAACUCUGGUACUAAAAUUUGAUCAGUCAAUGCUAGGUCUUAGGCUCGUAAAAAGAAUUACAAAACUUGCUUUGCGCAAAAGAACUAUGGCCAUCCUUUGAACUCCCCCUUUCAUAUGCAUUGUUGCUGUGGUGGCUUGCUGAGUACGGUUGGUACUCAUCCUUGCAAAUAUAAAAUUUAUCAGAAGCGGGAGAUGAAGCCUCGGAGGAUCCCUAUGCCUACUAUCAGGAGGGAGAUGAAGACGAUGGCGUCCAGUAGGUCUUAGUACGGUCGUUGCCUGUGGCAAUGGCAUGCCGCUGCCUGAAUUCCGCUGCCUUAUCUAUUUCUGCUUUUGGAUGUAUUCCGGACCUCUCGGUCCGAUGAUUUAAGACUAUGCCUGCGGGCCUAUGAUGUAAUAAUUCGUAUCAGACACUCGUGUAUGUGCACUUGAUAUUUCAGCUAUGAAUUCGUGUGUACCAAACUACUUGAUCCAGGGAAAUGGUACUGUUUACACGAUUGAUUCCUGUUAUAAAAACGAGGGUCCACACUAUAAAAGGAGUUGCCAUUCUCACUUCACUCACACACCUCAAGCAAAGCUCUCUCAUAUUCUCUCAAGUUUAGUUUAGUGCUUUUAAGCUAGUGGAAUAGGAAUAGAAUAUAAAUCGGAGUCCGGAAGCUUUCGGAAGAGUUCGGGUAUAGCUCUAGUAGCUCUUCUCUUCUCUUUUGUAAGCUUUGUACUUUAUUUCGAAUACUCUUCUUUAUACAUUUAUGGUAUUGAAAUACUUUCCAAGUAUAUGAAUGCCAACUUUACAUUAUGUUCAUGUUAUACUGAUUAUACUGCUAGCUUAUCUGGGAGAUGCAUCGGUACGGAUUUAGUGUUUGUUUAUGCAACUAAUCUAUGUCAUGACGAUGAUAUUUGAGUAGUAUCUGGUAGUUUAGGCGUGGUGUCUAGAUUACGGGAUAUCAUUAUUUGGGGUUAUAUGAUAUGGAUGAGAGGUGGGCCGCUGAUGGUGACAACUCAGUACGGGUAUUCCUCCGCUCGUGUAUACAGUCCUAAGUUAAUUUCCUGGGGAGGGUACUCAUCCGUAUUUAGCCCCAGUUGUAUGGUCAUGACGGGUUGUUGUAAGGAACUUGGCAAUCAGGGCUGGCUUCUCGAAGUACCAGGAGGGCUUCGGAUAGAGGGUAUUAGGUAAUAUGUCAGAUAACUAGAAUGUAUGUAUACUAUAUAUACUAGAAGUAUAGGAAUAGAUUUCAUUUAUCUUCUCUUUCCACUUAGCUUAGAUAAUUUAAUAUGAUAAUGAGUAGCUCCCUGCUUGUGUGUCAUUCUACCCUUGGAUUAUCUUAACCCCUGCUUAGACUAUGAUUAUUACCAGUAACAUAUAAAUUAUUAGUCAGGUUGUCUCUACUAUGAUCUUCCCACGGGAUUAAAUAAAUACGAUGUCCUUCGAAUACUCUCGGGUGAAAUGAUACAAUGGUAUAUCCGUGCGCUUGCGAAUGAACUCUGUAACCAUAAUAUACCAGGAGUAUUUCUGCGCCAUUGCUGGGAGUUAUAUUUCUAGUAAUGUCUGUCCGGUGACAUUGUCGAGCUAGGGUUGACGAUGACGGGGCCUAGACGAGAGCGGCGGGCUUGGGAUCGGAUGACGGCGACCUUCACCUGCAUGCUCCACUCAGGUUUUCUGCGCCGCCUCUACCGCCGAGCGGCGUCGGGCGCCGCUUCAGCGGAUCUGGCAUGGCACGGUUGCUGGCGGGGCGACGAUGGGCGACUGUGGGCAGGAGGCGUGGCAGCUCCACCUCUACCGCCGACUGGCGGCGGGUGCGAUAUCGGCGGAUCCGGCUUGGCAUGGCUGCGGGGGUGGUGGUGACUGGCGACUGCUGACGGAAGGUGAGGAGGCUGCGCAUCCGGACACCGCUCAACGCCCCACGCGCGCGGAUCUUAGCCACUAAGGUGGGGCGUAUCCGGCGUGGAUACGGGCGGUGCGACGUUGGAUCCGAUGCGGAUCCUGCACGGGUGACGGAGGGCGUGGCUGUGAUUGCUGACUGCGGGCAGGAGGCGAGGCGGCAGCGGAUCCGGCCGCCGCUCCACCCCCACGCGCACAGCGCGACCUCCGCCGCGGCAAGCUUGGACUCGAAUGGAUAUGGAGGAGCAGCGGCGGCCACCUCCACGAUGCGCCGCCGUCGAUGUCCGGAGCAAGCGCCAACAAAAAUUUAACUUAUGCUUAAAUUUUGUUGAGUAAAAAUUUUGUUGUCAUAUCAAGUUAAUUUUUUACUCAGUAAGGAUACCAAGCAUACGAUGUAUAUGAAAAAGGGUUUCAAAUGAAUACGUAGCACUGGUUUUAUUAAGUGGAAUUAUCGCACGAAAAAAUCCCCUGUUUUCGGCACCUCAUCUAACUGUUUUUUCUAUUAACGCCGAAUCACUAAUCCCUAUGAUCACGCAUAUUUUUUCUUAAACUAAAAGUUAUUUUUUUAACUACGUAUUUCAGACAUCAUAUAGGUGUUUUUAAAACAAUAAGUUAUUUUUAACUAUUAAAUCCAACAAUAAUAACAUAACAUAAAUUUCUUAAUUUAGUUUUUAACUACAAUUAGAAAAUCUUACAUCUACAAGUUAAAUUUUAACUACAUAUGUAGUCCCCGUACAAGUUUUUGUACAACAUUAUGAAUUUUUAGUAAUAAAACAAAUGUUUUUAACGUCAGUUAUUAUCACAUCGAUUCAAAGUUAAUAGUUAACUCAUCCAUUUUUUGAGUUUACGUAGCUCCAAGAUAGAUAACUCACGUUGUAAAGUUAAAUUUUAACUCCACAACGAUGUCAUCUCAACCCACACCCAAUUGUAUCUAAGUUAAAUUUUAACUCCACACGAAGGUUGGUUGCCUCGGUGGUGGGGGAAAUGGUGAGGAGCGCUUCGUAGCGCCACCGAUGACUAUUAUUUUAACAUUUCUGACUUAAUUAGAGAGAGAAAUUUAGAACCUUAUGCCAAAUUAUAUGGCCUUAACCCACUUAUAUUUUCGUUCCAAGUUGCAAAGAUCAAAAUAAAAAAUAACAUGGAAAAAAUAAUUUAAAACUGAACAUUUUUUUCUAAGUGUAACAUUGUUUUUGGAUUUGACCCAUUCUAAAUAGCAAAGUUCAAACAUUUUAAGAGUAAAAUAUUUAAAAUUUCAAAUAAAAUCUAACAGAAAAUUGAUUUUUCCGGCAUUAUUUUGGAAAUAAAGUCUAACAUAAUUUCAAUUCAAAGUGUAUAGCCCUAAACUACAGAGAGCAGUAAAAGUCUCCUUUUCUAAGAUGCUCUGAUUCAGCAAAAAUAUUUACUAAUGCAAUACUACGUCCUUACAACUAAAUCAAUAGUUCAACAUAUCUAUCUCAUUUAAUUAUAUGAUGUAGUAAUUUAGAAAAUAUCUUCAAUUAAUAUAUAGUAUACAAGAAAAAAAUGUUAGUUACAGUUUAGAAGCUCGAAAAACAAGAUAUUAGUACAAAUGAUCUAUAGUUUCAUAGGUAGCAACUCCAUUAGGAAAAAAAAUAUUAGUAGCAUUCAAAUAAAUCCCAAAUAAAUUAUCUAGAAAAAAUUUAAUAAAGUAAGAUAAACAUUCAUAAUAAAAAUCCAAACAAAUUAAAUAAGAUGUCCACACAUGUGACGGGCUACCUUCCUAGUUAGACAAAUUCAUAAAAAAUUCUGAGAAAAAAAAUAAAACAUCCAACUAUUAAUGUUUAUUAAAUUUGGUGACCCACUAUUUAUGACCAUUAGAUUUAUCUUCGAAACAAUAAAUUCUCUCUCAAACCCAGGCCCACCAGGGCUUUUACGUACGUACAUUACUCACAUUUGUCAGCUCUCUGCUCUUCCCUCAAUUUUUUCCUCCUAUUUUCUACCUAUUCCUUCUCUUAUUUUUUCUUGCUUUAUUAGUUUUUAUUAGUUACGAAAAAUAAAAAUUGUGUUAAACAAUUAAGUUAUAAUAUCUAAAUCAUAGAACUUAGAUCAUAGAAUUUUUUUUGUCCACUUAUAUCUUUAAAUUAUUUACGACAAAAAUUCACUAUAAUUCAACUUUGAAAACAAAUUUUAUUUUGGUUUAUAUCUUCUAACCUUUGCAUACCAUUCAAGCAAUUAUAAAAAAUAUGAAAUAAAGUAACAAUAUACUCCCUCCGUAUCAGAAUAUAAGAAGUUUUAGAGUUAGACACGGUUAUUAAGAAAGUAGGUAGAAAUGAAUGGUGGAGGGUUAUGACUGGAUGAGUAGUGGAGGUAGGUGGGAAAAGUGAAUGGUGGAGAGUUGUGAUAGGUUGGGAAGAGAAAUGUUGGUGGAGAAGUUGUUAUAUUUUGGGAUAAAUCCUGAGAGCUAAAAGUUGUUAUAUUUUGGGACGGAGGGAGUAUAAUUUAUCAUCAUACAUAACUUCAUAGUAAUUAAAUAAGAUCUGCAAUCAUAAAAAGUAAUGUUCCCAAAAUAUGUUACUCCCUCCAUCCCAUAAUAUAAGGGAUUUUGACUUUUUGUUUACACUGUUUAACCAUUCAUUUUAUUAAAAAAAAAUUGGAAUUAUUAUUUAUUUUAUUUGUGACUUACUUUAUAAUUCAAAGUACUUUAAGUACAACUUUUUAUUUUUUAUAUUUGUGUCUUUUUUUUAAAUAAGACGACUAAUCAAACAGUGCAAGCAAGAAGUCAAAAGUCCGUUGUAUUAUGGGACCGAGGGAGUAGAAAGCAAAAGUUAUGCUAAAAAGUAAGCAACUACAACAUCUAAAUCAAAAACUAAUAUUUGAUCCCCUUAUAUUUUUAGAUUAGUUUACAUUUAAAGACACAUAUGCACAGUAAUUCAACUUUGAAAAGAAAUAUGUCAUUUUACGGUUGUAUUUUCUGAUUUCUGCAUUAUUAAACAAAACGAUGAUAUAGAUUUUAUCAGCAUAUAUAACUUCACAAAAACUAAAAUGAACCUAAUUCCAAUUAAUGUUUUUAAAAUAAUACUCCCCCAUCUAACAUUCUAAUAACUCAAAAUAAUAUUAUUUGAUUUGUAAUGUUCAUAUUUUUACUAUCUACUAUGAAUAAGAAGCUAUGGGAAAAGACGAAUAAAAACGAUAAAUUUUAAUCAAUCAAUAAAGCUUCUAUUCUAUAUUUAGUUAAUAAAUUAAUAACAAAUAAAACAAUAUAAUUUAAUUCUCUCCCCUUCAACUCUCUCCUCCUCUCUUCUCUCAUUCAAUUCCUUCGUCUCCUAAUUUUUAGCUAAUUAAUACAAAAUGAUCGAUAAUUAGAAAGCCAAAUGAUUAUAAUUCUUAAGUUAUAUCCGAUUUUUAGUAUAUUUGAACUUUUUUUAUUUAUAAUUAAGAAAAAUAGUUUAAGAUCCGUAUUACCUAUAUUAACAUAUAAAAAUAAAAGUAUGUUAUUUGAACAUAGACACUGAUCCUUUGCAUGGUAACAAAAUAGCAAAAGGUAUAUAACAUUAUAAAAAAUUAUAAUAAGUACUAUUUCACCUUAAAUCGUUGUACAUUCUUAGAAUUGCACUUAACAUGUCACGUGUUACGUCUUAAAUAAAAAUAAAACCUUAUAAGUUGGAAGAAAAAAACAUUUGACAAUCAGUUUCCACUUGAAUAGGUGGAUCCAUUAUUUUUUAGCCAAUAUGUAUACUUUUAAAAAAAGCUUAAGCCAACAUGUAUUACAUCUUAAAUAUUAGAUUAGAAGACAUAUUAGAAAAUAUGAGAAAAAAAUCAAAUCAUCAGAUUUCACUUAAAUCAUCUCUACUAUUAUAAAAAUUGAAGAUGUUUUUGUUGGUAUUUUAGUACUUCAUUCGUAUUUGAGUUGGUUUAUAAGUCUGUUCGCUUUUAGAAAUACAUAUAUGUAUUUGAGUCAAAUUUUAAGUUCGUUUGCUUUUGGAAAUACGAAAGGAGUCGCAUAAGAAAUCUCUUUAAAAAAACAUGCAUUCUAACUUGAGAUAAAAGUCAGGCACCUAACUGCAUCUCAUGAUUUUCUAAACUAAAAUAUCCAAGCGAAUUUCCACGAUGAAUUUCACCAUAGCUAAACCGUAUAACAAUUACAUGAUUAAAAUAUCUUCACCCGUUACAACGCACGGGCAUUUUUUCUAGUUUAGAAAGGUAGAAAAAAAAUGCCCCUCCACUUCGUCCUCCCCCACACAUGCGCACAACACAGUACUACCCACCCCCUCCCCUCUCGGCUUUAGCUAUCCACUCUACCCCUCCCUAUUUUUUAUAGCGAGAAAUAAUUAAAAUUAUUAAAACAAUGCAUAACUUUUAAGCUACACAUGUAACCUCUAAUCGAACUAUUGUUGUAUUCAUAAUUAAACCAAUAAUUUAAAGAUCCAUAACGCUAAUAUUUGAACUUGUAUAAAAUAAAACAAGAAAUAGAAAAUGUCAAUAGGGAAUAAAUUCAACUAUUUGGAGAAAAUGUAAUAAGUUCAUAAAAAAAUUGGCUCUUCCAUUAAAAUUGAACCAACCAUUGCAUGUUCCAUUUUUAUAACAAUUUUCAAAUACCUUACAUCUAUAUAACCUAUACCAUAGGAUUAUGAGUUUCUCUGCAUAUUAUUGCAUAUAAGUCACACUAAUGUUCGAAAGUUAUAUUUGUUAUUAUUAAAGUUAAUUUUUUGGAUUCAUCAUAACUAGGUAUUUUCUUUUUAAAAAGAUAGUAUAAAUCACAUAUAUUACAAGGGAAGGAGUAAUUGCUAAACCCGAUACGGUGAUAGGCCGCCCCUCUUGUGGUCUCUGAGUCACUUGCAAUAUCUACAUGUUUCAUGUGGAGUAAGUCAAAUCACCUCGCUCGCUUUGCUUCGACGAAACUUCGACGACGCGUUCUCACCUUCUUCCACGAUGAAACGGCGGGAACCAUUUAAAGCCACACCACGCCAAUUAUAUAAGCCGAGCCACACCGCCACAGACGAAGCAACGGUAAACAAGCACACAUCCACACAACGGCAAUUAAUCAUUGCAGAGAGCUAGCUAGCAGUGGGCAGUGGCUGCUAGUUAGGUGAGCAGUGGCUGCAACCUGCAAGGGGCAAGUCAUGGCAUCCGUGGAGACGUGGGUAGGGUUCGGGUCGGCCAUGGCCGGCGUGGGCUUGCUUUGGUCCCGGAUGCCGGAGCACGUCCAUGAGGAGGCUAGGUACAUCAUCAGCAGCCUGGUCCCCAUGGCGAUGUCCUACUUCAACCCCUACGAGCAGAUCACCGUGUCCGAGUACGGCGAGGAGCGGUUCCGGCGGAACAAGAUGUUCGGCGCCGUCUCCACCUACCUGAGCCGCGUGUGUGCCGGUGGCGCCUGCAAGCUCAAGGCCGAGCUCUGCAACAACACCAAGGACGACCCGGUUGUCACCCUCGACGAGAACCAGGAGG